rnacentral:lncRNA from 1 species
GAAAGAGGCGACCAUAUGGUAUGACGAGUGUCUCCUGCGCUACUCUAACAGAUCGUUCUUCUCUGUCAUGGAGACAGCACCGAUUAUUUUUGUUAUCGACCCUGAGAGCAAUUCAGUUACCUUCAACAAGAUUGUGGAGCAAACUUUCGAUAAUGAGGACUUUGUGGCAAAAGUGACAGAUUUGUUCGCGAGAAAUGUCACAGACAAUGCGAUCUCCUCGGAAAGCUUAUACGCAACCAUAAACGUUAAUGUCUCAAGUUCAGCGACCCUGCAUGAGCGUGCACAGUGCACCCCUGACAUCUCAAAGUCAGCUUGUAAGAGUUGCUUGCUUUCUGCUAUCAAAGAGUUUCCUACCGCUCUUAAUCAUAAAAGGGGAGGUACGAGAAUUCUUCAGCCAAGUUGUUAUGUACUGUACCGAAUGGAUGUUGCUGGGGAACCUGGAGGACAAGCACCAGCACCAGCACCUUCUGCAACCAGUAAAGGUAUGAGCUAAAUAACACUCAAAAUGUACACUCAAAUUGUCAGUGGAAAGCGCAUAAUGGUAUCAUUCCAUUGCUUCUAAUUCUCAAUAUAAGCUGUUUUAUGUAUUGUAUUGCACUUGACUUGCUUUUACGAUCUAAAAGAUCAUACUCUCCUGCUUUCAACGAGUUCUUGGUACUAUUUACACUUGGUGAAAAAAAAGUCUGCAGAUUUGUGGUAUGUUUAGAUGCAAGGAAUUUCUCUUUCUUGACAGGGGUUCCAUGGAUUGCAAUAGUUAGCUCAGUAGUUGGAGCAGGGUUACUAAUAAUCAUUGUGGGUUCGUGUCUUUUUUUAAAGAGGACAAAGAGAUUGAAGAAAGGUAUAGGUGAAUUCAUCUUGCUUGCCACUGGAAUGACCAUCCUCUAACCUUUACCUGACGAGAGUACACUCUUGGACUCUCAGACAUGGAAAACAACCAAGAGGUUCAGUUACUUCAUCUACGACAAGAAAUUGAAGAAGAGUUUUCAAAGGAAAACUCUCGUGGACCGGCGGGUUCUCAAGAAUUAUCUCUGAUGCGAUUAGACAUCAUACGUGCAGCCACAGGAAACUUCUCCGAUGAAUGUAAACUUGGGGAAGGGGGGUUUGGCCCUGUGUACAGGGUAAGCAUUUCAAGGACUCAACACGUAUUUAUGGGGAAAUUGGGAAAAUCUUCUAAUGGUAGCAAACUGGCAGAGUCAUUAUCAAUGGCAUGAACUGAAUCGAAUUUGGUUAUCAUUAGUAAUUCUCAAAUAGGGAUCUCACUACUGACUUUACGCUGUUUCAGGCCACAUUGGCAGAUGGAAAAGAAAUUGCAGUUAAGAGGCUUUCAAGAACCUCAGGCCAAGGACUCAUCGAGUUGAAGAACGAAGUCAUCUUGAUUGCCAGACUACAACACAGGAACCUCGUCCGAUUAUUGGGAUGCUGCUUGGAAGAAGAAGAAAAACUCUUGAUAUAUGAAUACUUACCCAACAAAAGCCUGGAUGCCUUGCUUUUUGGUUUGAGCUUUAGCAGAUGCAAUGAAUUUUUGAGCUAGUUAAUUUUAGUUUUUAAAGUUGAGUUUCCAUCUGAGUCUCUCAUUUUGACAGAUUCGAAUAUAGGGCGAUAUCUAGAUUGGAAGCUACGCAUGAACAUCGCCUGUGGAGUAGCUCGGGGACUUCUCUAUCUGCAUGAGGAUUCUCGCCUGAAAAUUAUCCACAGGGAUCUGAAAGCUAGCAAUAUUUUGCUAGAUGGUGAGAUGAAUCCAAAGAUAUCUGAUUUUGGAAUGGCAAGGAUCUUCGGUGCAAAUCAAGACAAGGCAAACACAAACAGGGUUGUUGGAACCUAGUAAGUGCCUCAAUAUCUUUCUACGUCCUUUACAUGUUUGACUGAUUCACUAGGCCAACAAAGGACUCUGAUAAUCUGCUCAACAACACCAGAUAGAGCACAUUCAUAUUUCAGAUGUUCCAUCUUGAAAUUUACUUUUCACUGUUUCUUACUUCCAACUAAUUGCUCUUCAUUAUGUAAUUCUGGUUAGUGGAUACAUGGCACCGGAGUAUGCGAUGCAAGGACUUUUUUCUGUAAAAUCAGACGUCUUCAGUUUUGGAGUUCUCUUGCUAGAGAUAGUAAGCGGGCGCAAGAAUAAUGGUUUUCAUCUCCAAGAACAGGGUGAAAGCCUUCUCACAUUUGUAUGUUCCUAAUCACCAUAUGAAUUAAAUAUGAAAUCGAAGAUUUUCGUGCAGCUGUCCUUGUUAAUUUUUCCUUGCUAAAUAACAGGCAUGGAAGUUGUGGUCUGAAGGUCAACCGUUCGAACUUAUCGAUCCGUUAAUCAAUGAGUCAUGUGAUGAAGGUGAAGUGCUGAAAUGCAUACACAUCGGUCUAUUGUGCGUUCAAGAAGACCCAGCAGAUCGACCGGCUAUGUCACUCGUGGUUCAUAUUUUAGGAGGCGAUACCAUCACACUUGGCCGACCAUCGCAGCCUGCAUUCUCAGUUGGGAGAAAAGUGAAAAAACUUGAUCGUUUCGGGCACACUCAAGAAGCCUCAACUGUUAAUGGAAUAACCCUUUCGGUUGUUACGGCUAGGUGACCAAGUAUUAUACAAUGGAAAUGCUGCUAGUAAUAAUUAUGGUAUAUUUUAUCUUUUAGGACUGUGUAUAUAUCUCCAUCGUAAUAUAUUUAUAUCAUGUUAUUUUCUAUAUUAUCAUGUAAAACUAGCUUAUGUUCCCUUCUUUAUAUAUACAAAAAUAUACAGAAACUUAAAAAUCCUCUCCUUCGCAUUAUCACAUAUUUCUUAUCUUAGCGUUAGAGUUAGAUGAUCUUGAGCAAAUUUUGAGUGCUCAAGUGCAACACACCCGAGUGCACACGCGGAACACACCUUCACAUCCCGUGUCAUGUGAUUCAUUUUUAUUAUAGUUACUAGUAUCCCUUUCUCAAUGUCAAUUCUAAACAUUUUCGUCAUGUACACAUAAACGUCAGCCUAUCGCUGCAUAACCUACAUACAUCAAUCGGUUCUCUCUUCAUCACAUAAAAUCACCUCGUUGGAUCUUUUCUCCCAACUCCAUUUGACUUCCUCUUUUCACCUUGAGCUUGAGAGUUUGUUUAAAAUAAUUAAGAUUUUACCUUGAUCCUUCAUUUUUCAUGAUUGUAAAUAUAUAUUUCCCUUAAUUGUGCAUAUUGUUGAUUGAUUUAUAAUCAAUAUCAUAAGCCAGCCCCAUUUUAUUGUGCAUGCAUUUCCACCCCGUUCAUCAAAUAGACGUCAUUCCUCGUCUAGUUUACAUGUAAGAGGGUUGGAAUAACACAUGCCAUUUGAUUAUGGGGUUAUAUGUUUGUUAUAUACAUGUGAUCUCUUUCUAUUUAUUAGUAAGAAUCUUUUGGUUGAAUUUUCGAAUUUCGCAAUUUAAUGAAAUAGAAUGAUAAUUACGGUGUUUGAUCUCUUUCGCAUUGUGACAAUCAUUUCUCAAUCCUUGAUUUCUGGAAUCAUCAAUUAAUGAUUUUAGGGGAAAAAAACCUUUUCAUUAGUCAUCUUGAGUAUUCCAUGUGCACAACUCCUAUGGAUUAGAUAAUUUACUUGAGUGUAAAAGUUCAAAAAAAUCAUGUGUGACAAGACACGUGCUAUAAAUUCGACAAAGUGUCCUUUACUUCAUUCUUGAGCCAAGAACGUUUAGACAUCAUCUUAUUUUUGCAUCACGUGAGUAAUAGUGAUGUGUGCAUUUUGUUGAUUCAAAGCAUUAAUUGGCCGAUAUAUUCACUAAACCUCUUUUUUGCUCAAAUAUUUAUAAUAAAAAAAAUUAAGUAAGCAAAGAGUAAGCAUAAGCAAUCUACUCAACAACCUUCAUUGCUAUGAUAUAUGUCAAGCCCCAAACUCCCGAGUGUGCGAAUAUCCUUCAACGGUCAAUUAGUUGCGACGUCCCAGGACGCGUCGCCAACCCAUUCUUUUUAUCUUUCAAUUAAACCCAAGAAAAAGAAUUUAAUAUAAACAACAUCUGAUCAAACAACAAACAAUAGGGAUAAUAAGAACACAACAAACAUUCCAAAAACAGCACUUUAAUUUAUAAACUGCUAACUCUAAGAUAUUUAAUAAUUACAAGCUUUGUUACGGCCACUUCUUACCAACCAUCUCAAAAACCUACAGGGUCAAGUUUAACCUAAACUUUAGUAACGACGAGGCCAACCAAACAUGACACUAGGCACACCAGCGUCUUGGUCCAUCAGGAUCCCAAACCGCAUGUGACAGUUCUCCAUACUACGGACUCGAAAAUAUUUAAUAAUAACAGGAUGAAAUAUAAAUCUCAAUGGGUUAACCGCUUAAGCCUCGAUUAGGACGCAAAUUCAUCUCAAAAGCAGCCUAAACAUGCAACAACCUACAACCUUACCUCACCUUGACACACACCUGCAUAUUGGUACAUCACAUAUGCCAAUACCAAUGCAACAAGCAUAGUCAAUAAUCAAAACACAUAACUCCCAUACACCAAGUAUUCACAUGGGUCCCAAUUAUAAGAUAAAACCCAUUUUGGCCAAUCUUAUACCGUGCUUCACAGUUUUACUUCAUAAUCAAGCGCAAUGCAUUGCAAUCAUUUACAUGUGUUUCGAUUAUUACGACCCCUCGAGCCAUGGCCAACACAGAAGUUCUGGCAUGAACGGGCAUUGUCCCGUCCCAUCGAGUACAGCAUUGUUUAGAACCCCCACCUAGAUGGCAUUUCAUAAAGAAGCAUCGAUCUGACUUCAACCACAACUUGACAUCCAGACCCCCGCCAAGCAUUUGAUAAACAUCGGACAUCAUCCCUUUGGCAUUCUACUCGUCCUCUUACACAAACCACUGCAAGCAUUCCUCUACAAACCGCUUCUCAGUAUAGAAUUUGCUAUGCCAUAUCAUCUCAUAAUUAGUAAUAACUCAUAUAUGCCACACAUUAGUUUCUCAAUUCAUUAGGCUCUCACGCUUAAUUACUUAUGUAAAAUUAUGUUAGGGCACUCGUUGAUGGGAGAAAAUACAUUUACCAAUAAUUUAUAAUGAGCACCACCUCUAAAAUCAAUUGAAUCGUGUAAUUUUUACUUUUGAAAAGUAAAGUGCAUCGCACAGAUAGGAAGGGUGCAAAACGUAGAGGGAAAUUAUUCUACAAUUGUGACAUCCAGAUUUUCGGAUUCUAAUUUCGACUGGAUAAAUAUGGCAGUUUUUGUUCAGUUGAAGCCAGGGAUUGUGAAAUUGGGAUGCAAGUGGGCUACAUUGGUAAGGAAAAAUACCAAUUGAAAUGAUGAGGUGUUGAAUGAAAUUAUGGGAGUCAAUUUAAAUUGAAUCAAGAGGGAUUAAGGUCCAAUUGGGAAGAAAACUUAGCAAAAUUCGUAUGCCACCUCUACCACCACAUUUUGGCCUACCUUAAAGCUUCUAGAAGGGGCAUUUUUGGCAAGGAAAAGUGAGUGUAAGACAGCUGGAAUGGUGGGGCCAAAGAGAGAGAGAGAGAGAGAGAGAGAGAACCGGUUUUUCCUCUCUCCUCCGUCGAGCGUCUCCAUCUUCUUCCCCUUUCUUUGGGCUUCUUCUUCAGCAACAAUCGAAGACCAGUAGGCCGAAGCAGCGAUUCCUCUCGGCGUCAUCGCAGCAAGCAACCGGAGCUAGAGUCACCGCCGUCCGCCGUCCUGCUGCCUUGUGCAGCUUUGCCCCACCCUCUCCCUCUCACCUUGCGAACCAGAGAAGCUGAAGACAGAAGCAACGUCCAGCGUCGCCGGAAGGAGCCGCGACCAACUGCCUGGACGCCACCGCACCGGAGCUGCCGCACCGCCGCCCGCGUGACGCCGUGCGCACCGCCACCUCACGCUCGCGCCUGCUGUCCCCGCUGUGCAACCCCAGCCCCUGCUUUGCCUCAGUUCAGUCUCGUUCGGCCGCCUCCGGCCACCGCCCGACCUCCUCCAGCCACCGUCCGGCCUCACCGGAGUUCCCUCGCCCUCCGCCUGCCCUGUCCAGCUUGAAUCAGCGCCGGAACCACCUCAACCAGCCGUGCACCGAGAGUUCGAAAAUGGGUAUGUCAGCAUACGUUUGGCCCGUUUUGGCCAUCUUCCCGAGCCCGGAUGCUCGGCCCGCUUUGAGGAAAGUCGAUCCUCGCGUCGAGCCCAUCGUUUUGAGUGAGUUUUUCUCACUAAUGCCUUCUUAGUUUGCUAAUUACACUUAAAUGUUGAUUAGUAUUAAUUAAGUGUAAUUAGGUUGUUAGAUUAGGAUAGAUUAGCGAUAUUUGUUAAUUUCAUUGCAUAUUAGUUAGGUGGUUAGUGUACUUAGAUAGAGAAUUGCCUAUAGUAUUUAUUGGAUGCUUCGUGGGAUUUUUCCCGACCCUUAUUGGGUGUUAAUUAGGCGAUUCGGGCCUAAUUGGUAUUUUUAGGAAUUAAUUAUUUAAUUAGUUAUUUUCCGAAAAUUCAACUGGGAUGGCUAGUGACAGAGAUUUUAUGCUGAUGAUCGUGGCGCAGACCGUUUCUUUAAUUGAGCUUCAUAUUGUGCUAAAUUGGAAUUAUUGUGUUUAUUUAUUUAUUUUUCGGAAUUAAAUUAAUUAUUUAUUUAUUUUCCGAAAAUUCAACUGGGAUGGCCGAUGACCGGAAUAUUAUGCUGAUGACCGUGGUGAAGUCCGUUUAUUUAAUUGGGCUUUAUUUUGAGCUAAAUGGAAUUUUUAAUAUUUAUUAAUUAAUUAUUUUUCGGAAAUUAAUGCUGAGGUGACCGACGACCGGAAUUUCGUGCUGAUUGUCGUGGCGCAGUCCAUUUAUUUAUUUGAGCUCUACGUUGUAUGAAAUUAAAUAAAUUGUGAUAUUUUAGGGAUUUACCCUAAAUUGAUUGAAAUUGAGUGAAAUUGAAUUAUUGAUUGGUAAAUGGCCGAGUAUGGCUAGUUAGCAUUUGUACUGCCUUGUUGAGCUGUAAGUGGAGAAAGUGGUGAGAGCUAACUGAGAAUUCUAUUUGCUGAGACCGAUCAAGUACGAAGUAUAGACAAGUGUGGUUCGAUGAUAAAGUACAUCACUGUGCGAAAACGGCGCCUUAAAGAAUGCACAUAGACUAUCUAUGACUUAUGGCAGGCGUGGUUCAGUGAUUAGGGAGAUCACUGUGCGAAAUCAACGCCUUAAAGAACGCACGUAGACUGCCUAUGAAUCGUGACAGGCGUGGUUCAAAGAUGAAGGACAUCACUGUGCGAAAAUGGCGCCUUAAAGAACGCACGUAGACUGUCAGUGAUUUGUGACCUAUGACGAGCGUGGUUCGGAAAUGAGGAAUAUCACUGUGCGAAAACGGCGCCUUAAAGAACGCACGUAAACCGUCUGUUACUUAUGUCACCUUGGCGAAAACGACACCCGACAGCAUUGAUGGAGCUCUGUGACUAAGUGUAUUUUAGAGGUUAUGUGGGAUGGAAUGAAUAACCUAUAAAUGAUCCGACUGACUCGUAAUCGAUUAGGUCGAUUGAUCGUCGCCUUGAUUUGAUGUUGUGGAUUGAAUGAUUGAAUGGAGAUGACCGUGAGUGGUCUUCUUGGUGUGGAAUCGACUAGAUCGAUUUGAUCGAUGCUUCGAUCUUUGAUGUGAUUGCUUGGGUGUCUAUUUGAUCUGUGCUAACAUGCAAGUGGAAUCUGAGGCUAAGGUAAGCCCUCUGACUCAUGUUAUGCAUAGGAAACCCUAAGGUAUAUUAGUUUACUAAUCAGGUCUUAGUGUGGUAGAAUUUGCUGAGACAUAGUCUCAUCCCGGUUUGGGGAAAACAUUUCAGGACCCUGAUGAAGAACCUGAGGAUAAAGAAAUCGAAGAGGAGUAUAUGGAGAAGAACUCCGAGGAUGAUCCAGAGUAGGAUCCUGACGACUUUUGCUAUAGAAUCAAUUUGAGUAGAAACCAGUCGUUUUAGUAUGGCUUGUAUAUGAUCAUAAGGGUGUUGGUUUUCAGGUUCAAUUUCCUAGUCCUACUUGUAUAUCCCAUUACUUUAUUGUCUGGGGAUUUUUAUAACUGCUUCCGCAUGUGCUAUUAAAAAGAAAAGGGUUGGCGAUAUGUAGUCUUGGGAUAUCGCAUUUUAAAAUCUACCAAAAGUAAGGGAUGUGCGCGUGCCUGAGGAUCGGGGUGUGACAUCCCCAUUUUGUGGUAUCAGAGCAAUGGUUAAUGAAUGGAGUGAUAAGGUGCGAUGAGUCAUGGGAUAGUAGUAGGAAUGACCUUUAAAUUCAUAUUGAUGCAUGUCGAUGAUAGCUGAUUUGUAGCUUGUUUGUGGAUCACUCAAAUUCUAAUGUGGCAUUAGAAUUAGAAAACAAGUUUCUAUAAAGAUCUUGUAAUUUGAGUGAUCAGGAGCUGUGAGCUCAUAGUAAGAGGACAGUAACCUUUAUGACUCGGGAAUUAACGCCGACAAGGAUCGAUGCCUGAGGUGGUUGUGGCAGAGUACCGGCUUAGGCUAGUGCGCGUGUAAGAGUACCACCGUGGGUUGGUACUGAGAAUGUAGCAGCACCGAGCGAUCCUAGGUCCAGCAAGAUCGUUCAGGUGCAAGUUUUCCCAAGGAGCUUGUCGAGCCAGUGAGUUCGAGAUCAAGUUGAAGUUAUUGCCACACCUGCCGAGGUUUAGUAAGGAGACGUGAUCCAGGAGCAAGCCGUUGUAACUGAGUUGAGGUUCAGGUUCAGUAGAGUUGGAAAUCGGGUUGGAAAGGAGCCUAUGACCGGAAAAGUGUAUUAUAUUCCACACCUCGGAAAAGACGGGAUAGGCAAGGCAGCAUCGGAUCAGAACAUAGUGUGUCAUGGAAGCCGACAUGGAUCAGCCUUGUAUCCUAUUAAGAUGGGUGUUUAUUCUGACUGUGAUCGACAAGGUCACUUGGCAAGAGAUUGUCUUAGAAGAUCGAUGGGAUAGGUUGGAAGGAGUGAGCCACAGAGCGUACAGUGGAGUUUUUGAAACAAGCCUCCAGUGCAACCGAGAGGGUAUACUAUCACCUGACAUUAGAUAGAGGACUCACUAGGUGAGUGCCGAAAGUAUGGAAGGAAUGCAUGGAUUAAUCCUGUGUUCGAGAAUGACUAGAACGUGCUUUGAUGGUAGUGAGCACGGCCAUCAAGUGAGGGACUAUCAGUUGGGGUUUAAGAAGAACACCAACACUAUUACUACCGUUAGAACGCCAGCAAGAUGGCAAAAGGAACAGGAACGGAACCGACCAUGCCUUAUUCAAUGGAAGAAUGUUUUGAGGUGAUUUUAUCAUAAUAGUGCCAGAGAGUGUUGGGAUUACAAGUGUGGAAUUUCAGUUGUUUGUUAAGGCUGUAGGAAAAGAACCAUUGACUAGAGUUGUACUUGAUUGGCUGUUGGUGUACAACUUAUUCGUCAAGUGUGGAAAGAAUUGAUUCUAGAGCAUUUUGUGGUGAUGAAUUGUUAUAGUGGAGUAACCCAGUUUAUUCCAGGAGCAGGUAGAAGUGCCAAGUUUUAUUGAGAAUUGAGAAGAGUCCUCGACUUCUUUAAUCUCGUCACUUGAGGCAAUCCGUUUGUUAGACAAAGGUUGCCUAGGUUACUUGACGAUUGAAAAAAAUAAGACAGAUUGAAGAAUUGAAAAUUUAAGACUCCUCAGUAGUCCAAGAAUUCCUGGAAGUGUUGCUAGAAGGAUUAUCAAACCGUCGCCAGAGAAAGAGAAGGAAUUGCGAUCGAACUAGCAACCAGAAUAGAACUAUUCUCUAAAGUUUCUUACCGGUUGUUGUUGUCUGAAUUCAUAGAACCAAUGGUGCAAAUGUGAGAAUUGAUGAAUGUGGAAUUCAUGCAUUUCGGUGCAUUACCUAGGAGAAACAUCAGCCUCAUAGUGAGAAAGAAAGAAAGAUGGUUCGUUGCAAUUAUGCAUCAACUAUAGUCGACUCAAGCAAGUGACAAUCAAGGAUAAACGUUCAUUGUCAAAGAUCGACGAAUUGGGUGACUUGUUAUAAAGAGUGCUGAUGUCUUCAAGGAUCGACUUGAGGACAGGUUAUUGUCAGUUGAGAACCAGGAAUGAGGUUAUACUGAAGACAGCAUUUCGCACUUGAUUUUGCCCUUGUGAGAAUAAUGUAAAACCAUUUGAUUUGACGAACGCUCCAGCCGCAGUUAUAGAUUUGACAAACCGAGUGUUCAAAGAAUAUCUAGAUCAAUGGUGAUUGUGUGGUGUAGUGACAUUCUAGGGUAUUUGUUAAAUGAUGAGGAUCACGAGAGCCCCUAAGAAUAGUCAUGUGAGUACGAGUAAAGGAAUCUUCAUGAACACAGCCAAGAUUGAAUCAGUUGUUAAUGGAUCAAGAUCGACAACAAUGUUAGAGAUCAGAAGCUGUGGGAAUUGGACAGAUUACUAUGGAAGGUUUGUGUAAGAAUUUUUAGCAUCAGUAUCAUCGCGGGCUUGACCUCUUGAGAAAGAAGAGAAAUUCAUCGGCAUAGACAAGUAUGAGGAUAGUUUCCAGAGCUUAAAGGACAGGGUACGUAUUGAUACAACAUGAGAAGAUUGUUGCAUACCCAUCCCGCAAGUUGAGACCCAUCAAGUUGAAUAUGAAAUAGUGUCAUGAAUUAGAAUUUUGGCGGGACUAUGAUGGUGUUAUCUAGUAUCAUCCUUGGAGGAACGAAAUGAGUCAUUAAUGUGUUGGGUCGAGAGUCUUCAAUUGUGCAUAGACUAGCUAAAGUGUAGACUUUACUUAAAAAGGGUUCAAAAUGUGGUUUUCAAAUUUGAGGUAGGCUACCUUUUGAAUUUUAUAGCCGCCCUCAAAAUUGAACCAUAUGUUCAAAUUAGAAUCGGCGCCUAAUUGAUAGACAGAGAUGUUCAAAAGAUUGUAUAAGAGGAUACUGGUAAGAAAGAAUCUGACUUUAAGAUUUCUGGGGAUGGAAAGUUUGGAUUCCAUGAGUGAUUGAAUACAAUUGACAGUGUAGCACUCAGGGAAAAGAUCUUGUCAGAAGUUCACUAUAGUAUUGCAGUUUUGACCAGACGGUGCAAGUGAGUCAGAAUUGACGUCAGCUAGAUCGGUAGGCCGAUAUGAAGAUAGAUAUCGUCAACCAAGUUGCUAGUGUCAGAGGUGUCAGUAAGUGGAAGUUCAGUAAUGCAAACCCGGAAGAUGUUAUCAUCACUUAAGAGUCCCUAGUGGGAAUGAAAAUAUAUCACGAUGGGACAUGGUGAUGAGCUUAUUAAGGAUUUAGGGGGUUACUAAUACCAUUUGAGAAUAGUAGUCAAUCGAUAGAUGGAGUUGGUCCACUUUGGUACAGUAUGAAUAGAUCUUGUUUUGAGUGUGUGACAUCCUGAUUUUCAGACUCUGAUUUCGAUUGGUUAAAUUGGGCAUUUCAUCGACGCGACUACAGUGAUUUUCUCUGAGUUGGCCACUCACGAGAUAACUAGACUAGAUGGGUAAGUUAUUAGGGACUUUAAGACAGAUAGACUGAGAAUUCGACUAGGAAUCGACUUCUCGACUGUGCUCAUCUUUAGGGAUCAUUGCGGCACAGUAUAAAAUCGAUUUGAAAUUAGAGAUAGGUCGGUUUGACUGAGAUGAAUGACCGAUCGUGGGUGACUCCAUUAAAUUGAAAAACUCUCGUCGACUAGCACUAAUUUGAUUUUAUUGUUGUUUUGGUACCCUGUGUCCGUAUUUGAAUCUUCGAGAUUUUCACGAUAAUCGAGGGUCGUCAAUGUGUCGAGUGGGUUCAUCGUGGCUCGAAGAAAAUCGACCACGGGUCAUUUGUCUUAAAAAGUUCUAAAAACUACCCAAUAGCCUAGGUCACGCUAAAAACGCGUCGAAUGAAAAUUAACCAUGAAUUCGAAUCCGAUUUCAGAAAUUGAAGAUUCUGUCUUGUCACAGAGUGGGUAUACCGAAGUGUGUGUGCAUCAGAUAAUUCACUGGCAUGGAGUGCUGAGGAUGAAUUAUAUUUCGAAUCUAGAUAAGAGGUUACAAGUUUGGCAGAGUUUUCAGAGGGUUCUUUCUUAAGCAGUGUAUAGCAUAGGGUACAGAAUUUUGGUGGUGAAAAGAAAGUGAAGAAAGAUUACAGGCCAGAGUCAGCUCAGUAAUCAGUGAUGGUAGUUGUCAGAUCAGUGUCAGAGUAAAGACUGCUCAGAACUGUCAGAAAUUUUGAAUCGUUGAGGUUCGAAGGUUUAUUAGGGAGUUGCGAAAAAGAGAUCAGAUGUGAAUGACAUAAUGUCUUAUGUGAGAAGCUCAGUUCAGUUGUUGAUUCAGAAAGAGCAGAGUUUGUGUACCAAGACGAUCUCCUUAGUCAAAAAGGUCGAACAACACCACGAGACCGAAGGAUUAGCAUGGAAUAGUGAGACUCAAUGAAAUGACAAUACCCCCACCUUUUGUAUAAGGAUUGGUAAAAGUUUAAAUUUCAAAAACGAAAUUUUUAUAAGAGGGAAAGAGUUGUGACAUCCAGAUUUUCGGAUUCUAAUUUCGAUUGGAUAAAUAGGGCCGUUUUUGUUCAGUUGAAGCCAGGGAUUGUGAAAUUGGGAUGCAAGUGGGCUACAUUCGUAAGGAAAAAUACCAAUUGAAAUGAUGAGGUGUUGAAUGAAAUUAUGGGAGUCAAUUUAAAUUGAAUCAAGAGGGAUUAAGGUCCAAUUGGGAAGAAAGUGGGCUACAUUCGUAUGCCACCUCUACCCCCACAUUUUGGCCUACCUUAAAGCUUCUAGAAGGGCCAUUUUUGGCAAGGAAAAGUGAGUGUAAGACAACUGGAAUGGUGGGGCCAGAGAGAGAGAGAGAGAGAGAGAGAGAGAGAGAGAGAGAGAGAGAGAGAAAACUGGUUUUUCCUCUCUCCUCCGUCGAGCGUCUCCAUCUUCUUCCCCUUUCUUUGGGCUUCUUCUUCAGCAACAACCGAAGACCAGCAAGCCGAAGCAGCGAUUCCUCUCGGCGCCGUCGCAGCAAGCAACCGGAGCCGAAGUUGCCGCCGUCCGCCGUCCGCCGUCCUGUUGCCUUGCGCAACUUCGCCCCACCCUCUCCCUCUCACCUUGCGAACCAGAGAAGCUAAAGACAGAAGCAACGUCCAGCGUCGCCGAAAGGAGCCAUGACCAGCUGCCUAGAUGCCAUCGUACCGGAGCUGCCGCACCGCCGCUUGCUCGACGCCGUGUGCUCCACCGCCUCACGCUCGCGCCUGCCGUCCCCGCCGUGCGACCCCAGCCCCUGCUUUGCCUCAGUGCAGUCUCGUUCGGCCGCCUCCGGCCAUCGCCCGACCUCCUCCGGCCACCGUCCGGCCUCACCGGAGUUCCCUCGCCCUUCGCCGGCCCUGUCUAGCUUGAAUCAGCGCCGGAACCAACUCAACUAGCCGUGCACAAAGAGUUCGAAAAUGGGUAUGGCAGCGGACGUUUGGCCCGUUUUGGCCGUCUUCCCGAGCCCGGAUGCUCGGCCCGCUUUGAGGAAAGUCGAUUCUCGAGUCGAGCCCGUAGUUUUGAGUGAGUUUUACUCACUAAUGCCUUCUUAGUUUGCUAAUUACACUUAAAGGUUUAUUAGUAUUAAUUAAGUGUAAUUAGGUUGUUAGAUUAGGAUAGAUUAGCAAUAUUAGUUAAUUUCAUUGCAUAUUAGUUAGGUGGUUAGUGUACAUAGAUAGAGAAUUGCCUAUAGAUUUAUUGGAUGCUUCGUGGGAUUUUUCCCAACCCUUAUCGGGUGUUAAUUAGGCGAUUCGGGCCUAAUUGGUAUUUUUAGGAAUUAAAUAUUAAUUUUCAAAAUUAAUUAUUUAAUUAGUUAUUUUCCGAAAAUUCAACUGGGAUGGCUAGUGACAGAGAUUUUAUGCUGAUGAUCGUGGCGAAAUUAAUAUUUAAUUAGUUAUUUUCCGAAAAUUCAACUGGGAUGGCUAGUGACAGAGAUUUUAUGUUGAUGAUCGUGGCGUAGACCGUUUCUUUAAUUGAGCUUCAUAUUGUGCUAAAUUGGAAUUAUUGUGUUUAUUUAUUUAUUUUUCGGAAUUAAAUUAAUUAUUUAUUUAUUUUCCGAAAAUUCAACUGGGAUGGCCAGUGAUCGGAAUAUUAUGCUGAUGACCGUGGUGAAGUCCGUUUAUUUAAUCGGGCUUUAUUUUGAGCUAAAUGGAAUUUUUAAUAUAUAUUAAUUAAUUAUUUUUCGAAAAUUAAUGAUGAGGUGACCAACAACCGAAAUUUCGUGCUGAUUGUCGUGGCACAGUCUGUUUAUUUAUUUGAGCUCUACGUUGUAUAAAAUUAAAUAAAUUGUGAUGUUUUAGGGAUUUACCCUAAAUUGAUUGAAAUUGAGUGAAAUUGAAUUAUUGAUUGGUAAAUGGCCGAGUAUAGCUAGUUAGCAUUUGUACUGCCUUGUUGAGCUGUAAGUGGAGAAAGUGGCGAGAGCUAACUGAGACUUCUAUUGGCUGAGACCGAUCAAGUACGAAGUAUAGACAGGCAUGGUUCGGUGAUAAAGUACAUCACUAUGCGAAAGCGGCACCUUAAAGAACGCACGUAGACUGUUUAUGACUUAUGGCAGGCGUGGUUCGGUGAUUAGGUAGAUCACUGUGCGAAGACAGCGCCUUAAAGAACGCACGUAGACUACCUAUGAAUCAUGAGAGGCGUGGUUCGGUGAUGAAGGACAUCACUGUGCGAAAACGGCGCCUUAAAGAAUGCACGUAGACUGUCAAUGAUUUGUGACCUAUGACGGGCGUGGUUCGGUGAUGAGGAAUAUCACUGUGCGAAAACGGCGCCUUGAAGAACGCACGUAGACCGUCUGUUACUUAUGUCACCUUGGCGAAAACGACGCCCGAGAGCAUUGAUGGAGCUCUGUGACUAAGUGUAUUUUGGAGGUUAUGUGGGAUGGAAUGAAUAACCUAUAAAUGAUCCGACUGACUCGUAAUCGAUUAGGUCGAUUGAUCAUCGCCUUGAUUUGAUGUUGUGGAUUGAAUGAUUGAAUGGAGAUGAUCGUGAGUGGUCUUCUUGGUGUGUAAUCGAUUAGGUCGAUUUGAUCGAUGCUUCGAUCUUUGAUGUGAUUGCUUGGGUGCCUAUUUGAUCUGUACUAAUAUGUAGGUGAAAUCUGAGGCUAAGGUAAGCCCUCUGACUCAUGUUGUGCAUAGGCAACCCUAAGGUAUAUUAGUUUACUAAUCAAGUCUUAGUGUGGUAGAACUUGCUGAGACAUAAUCUCAUCCCGGUUUGGGGAAAACAUUUCAGGACCCUGAUGAAGAACCUGAGGAUAAAGAAAUCGAAGAGGAGUAUCUGGAGAAGAACUCCGAGGAUGAUCCAGAGUAGGAUCCUGACGACUUUUGCUAUAGAAUCAAUUUGAGUAGAAACCAAUCGUUUUAGUAUGGCUUGUAUAUGAUCAUAAGGGUGUUGGUUUUCAGGUUCAAUUUCCUAGUCCUACUUGUAUAUCCCAUUACUUUAUUGUUUGGGGAUUUUUAUAACUGCUUCCGCAUGUGCUAUUAAAAAGAAAAGGGUCAGUGAUAUGUAGUCUUGGGAAAUCGCAUUUUAAAAUCGACCAAAAGUAAGAGAUGUGCGCGUGUCUGAGGAUCGGGGCGUGACAACAAUGGUACGGUCUCCCUUGGAAGAGAGACUAUAACUUCUCUACCUUUCAUUCUCCCAAGAGAACCUAACAAAUCGUUCAUCCGAUUUCUUUAAGAAAUUUGGAAUGAAAUCUCUUUUGUUUGGAUUUCCUCUAGUCCCUCUAAGCGAGCUUUCUUAAACGUGAGUAUAAUAAAUAAAUAAAUAAAUAAAUAAAUAAAAGUAGGAGAAAUGUUAAAUUUGAAGAAAACCCACAAAACAUCCACAAUAGUGCAAAAGUUAUGGUUCAUAACCACUUAUUGAGCUGCCAUAUUUGCAUUGAGCAGUCAUCAACUCAAAACUCUAGUGAUUGGGGCUGCCGUAACCAUGAUUGCCACAAGCUUGGAGCUUGAGCUCAUGACUAUGGCGGUAGAGGUGGCAAAAGGGGUCUUGACCCAUAUAUGACCCAUUUAAAUCAUAAAUGAGUCAUAUAUGGGUCACUUGUUUUUUUGACAAAAAGUAGAUAAUUAGGUUUAACAAUUACAAACUUUGAUAGGUGGGUCUUAAGUGGAUCUUAAAUGGAUUGGAUUUAGAACCCAUUUUCACCAAAACCUCACAAUCUCUCUCUUUUCUCUUUAACUUUACAAAAACAUUUUUAUAAUAAAAACCAAAAUUAUAACUAUAAUUUUUUAUUUUUCUUUUCUUUUCUUUUUUCUUUCCUUUUUUUUUCUUUCUUCUUCCUCCGGUCGCCGGCACGGUGAUGGCCGACAACCGGCUAGGCGAGCCUCAAGCUCGCCCCUCGUCGGAUCUGGCAAGGCGAAGGCCUCGCUGACGCCCAACAAGGCUAGAGCCUCGCUAGAUCCGGCUAGGGGCGAGCUCAUUGGAUCUAGUGAGGUGGAGGCCUCACUGACGUCCAACGAGGCUCAAGCCUCACUAGAUCCGGCAAGGGGCGAGCUCAAGCUCGCUCGACGCCGGCCAGCCUUGAGCUCGUCAAAUCUAGCGAGGUGAAGGCCUCGCCGACAUCCGGCAAGGCUCGAGCCUCACCAGAUCCGGCGAGGGGCGAGCUUGAAGUUCGCCUAUGGCUGGCCAUCGGCCGUCGUUGUGGCCGGCGGCUGGCCAAAGAAGAAGAAGAAGAAAAAAGAAAAAAGAAAGAAAUUAUAUUUUAAAAAAUAAUUUAAAAAUAAAAAUAAUUAAAAUUCUAUUUUCAAAAUAAUUAUUUUGAAAUUAUAAAAUUUGUCCAUUAAAUUUGUGUUGUAUAAACUAUCUUAGCAAUAUCAUUAUAUAUAUAUAAAUAAGAAAUAAGAUUUCUUAAGUUUAGUUAAAUGGGUCGGGUUCGGUAUGAGUCAAAAAUUUUACAUUGCAAUAAAUGAGUCAUAAACAGGUUAAAUGGGUCGAUUUGGAUCGAACCAUUUAUGACUGGACCCAAACCUGACCCGAUCCACCCAUUUAACGGGUCUAUAUGGCGGCUGUGAUGGACCUCCAUCUCUCUCUCAAUUUUGUUUUCUAUUAUAUUGUUUGAUGUGGUGCUUUUUUGGCUAAUAAUAAUUUUCAACUAAUCAUAACAUAACACGCAUGCAUUUUGGUCAAUCUAUGUCAUUUAUUCCGCAAUCCAUGUCAACAAAAAAAAAAAAAAAUUAGGAGAAAAGGUAUAAUGAAAUGACUAUAUGUUGACUUUAAGAGAGAAAGAUGAUUUUGAUUUUCGGACAAAAUAAAGGACAAUGGUGAUAUUAUUCAUUGAAAAGAAAAAAAAAAAAAAGACCUUCAUUCCACGUUAUAUGUUGCUUUUCUAUCUAAGUUCCAUUGUUGAAUUAAUCAAGGUUAGCAAUAUAAUAAUGUAUAUCUUUAGAUUCCAACAAAAGUCCAAUGGAUUAACAUUCCUUUGAAAUGGAAAUUGCGGCCCACGGGCCACCAUCAUCCCCGUUAGGCUAACAUCUCCCAAACGUAAAUUGCAAAUGUUCGUGGUGAUAUUUAGGUAAUUUUCUUUUGAAAAAUAAAGAAAUAUUCUAAAAGAUUUCAUGGAAUUAAAUUCUAAAACUUUCCAAGAGCGUAAUUAAGUCCCAAACUUGUCACAAAAGUACAAUUGAAUUUUAAAAUUUUCAAAAAGCGUAAUCAAGUCCGAAAACUUGUUAAAUUGAUCCAAUCAAAUCAUUUUGUUAUAGUACUUUUUGAAAGUUUUAGAAUCAAGUCAUUCUAUUAAUUACACUUUUUGAAAGUUUUGAAAUUUGAUUACACUUUUCAUAACGGAUUUUAAGAUUUGAUUGUACUUUUUGAAAAUUUUUAAAAUUCAAUUGUACUCUCAUGACAGGUUUCAAGACUCUCGAUGCACUUAUCUCAAAUAUUAAUCACUAAACUUUUUUCAUUCCCAACCUCUACAAGCUGUACUAAAUUAUUUCAAUAUUCGAAUUUACAGUGGGCUAUAACUUUUUGGGAUUAGUUUUAAUUUGAAGUUAUGUAUCUCUUCACGUGAAACAGAAUUUUUCCUUCUGACAAGAAAAAAAAGAAAAAAUAAAAAACUUUUCUGCCUCCCACAUGUCAACAUUGAAGUGUGGACGGCAAAGGAUGUUGGAAAUUCGGUCCGUCUUUUCCCUUCGAUAGUAAUAAUGCCAUAAUCACGUGGGCUUUUUUGUAACGUUAAUAAUAAGCUGUGCUUACGGAUGGCUGUGCUUCGGCCGUCGUGUCGUCACCGCUGCGAACGAGAGCAGCAUAAAAAGGUCAUAUUCUUAUUAGAUUGCCCUAUUUGUAGGUUGUAUCAUUGUUAGCAACAGUAGUAGAGCAUCUCUUGUGCCCAUUGAAGAAUCCAGGCGAUGUCGCCAAGAAGCUGCAAAGGAAAAGUGCAAGCGUGAUUGGCGUGGGGGCUCGCUGGCCGCAGGACGUGAGCUUUUGUAAAACAACAAAAUUAAACAUCCUCAACUUCCAUUCCCGAUAAAAGUAAUAGUACAUGGAGAGAAAACAUGCACCUAACUAGGCAACUACAAUCAAGUGAAAGAUUUCGAAAAGUAAAAUCGUAUUCACUCCCUUCAGCCUAAUACAAGGCAACCCUAGUUUGUAUGAUACUAUCACAGGACCAAAAUUUUAGAGGAUUAAAUAGGCAGCAACCCAACCGCUAUCACUACCCUUUAGCUUACUCACCAGACAAACACACACAAUCACACACCAUACCCAGCCCCACCUCAGCAAACAGCAAUCACCACAAAAUAGAACCGACACGUUAAGGGGGAUCUUGAAAAUUGUAAGAGUUUUACUACUACUCACAAGGCCUUGCUAUUCGAUCCGGUGGGCCCAAUAUCUCCAAAGCAAACCCCUGCGACCAAGAAACGCCCAAAAUCAAUUUUGAGAGCCGCGCCAGCUUAAUUGAUACCCACACCCUCAUCAAAAACCCUAGAAUCAAACACACAAACGCUGAACCAAACAGCUCAAAGCAAAAGAAACAACAGUCUUUGGAACUUUUUCACUCCUAUGAAGUCACAAAUUGAAGUCACGACCGGCAAAACUAGUUCAAAAGAGAUCUGAGCACUUCGGAUCUUCUAAUGUCAAGCCAUUGAAGUUUCGGUCGUGGCGAAGAGAAACGGAGAUGGAAGUCCCUAAUGGAAGUCGUGUCUUGCAGAAUUAAUUCUUCUCUCUGUGUCUGUCACUCUCACUAAAAAGGAAGGAAAUAGAGCCGAAGGGUGCAACGCAUUUAGUAAUCAUUUUGUUCCUGGGAAUAAUUUAUGCUUAGAAAUAAUUUUUUCUAAUAUUGUUCUUUGGACGAGUUAUUUAGCAUUCAACCGUAUUAGUAACUUCAUAAAAUUUAUGUUCAUUGAAUAGAAAAGAAUAGAAAUAUGUUUAGCACAAGUCUUAAAUUUUUUUUUUUUGUGACAUACAAUUUCUUUUUAUUUUUUAAUAAAUUUCUCAAAUUUGUAUUUAUUUUAUUUAUCUUUUCCUCUUCUCGUCUUCCUUCUCUAGCUAGUCACCGAGCCUCAAGAAUGGCUAGUGGCUAGCUAGAAGUGAGAGCUAGCGACUUUGUUUGCUUCGGGGGCCACUCAUUGGCCUCGGGGGAGCCUAACUAGCUCUUGGUGAGGCCGACCCAUCCAUCCACGACAAGGUCAAGCCUCACCAAGAGUCAACGAGGUUGCCAAACCUCGUUUUUGGUUGGUUGCUGGCCAUUGCCGAGCCUAGCAACUGACUAGAGGAGGAAGAAGAAGAAAAGUAUUUUUUUAAAAAAAAAAGAUAAUGACUUGGUUUCAGAAUUUGUUUCUAGAAACAAAUAAGUAAUUUUUUUCUAUUUUUUUAUUUCUGUUCUAGAUUUAUUCCAUGGCUACUGAUACGUUUUCGGGAAUAGAAAAAUUAGCUGACAUUAUUAAAUGGAUUUUUGUUUUUCGGAAUAAAAGAACAAAAUUAAUUAAGAAUUAACUGGUUACCAAAACGGGCCAAAAUAAAGUGUAAAGGUGUAUGGUGGGUCAUGGACUUAUGGGUGUCGUGUGGGUUUUGAAAAUAUGGGUUAAAAUAUGGGUCAUGUCUGUCUAAUGGAUCUCGCGAGUCGGGUAUAUUGGCUUUUUUUUGGGUCUUUAGUUUUCCACAACCCACUUAACCCAUUUUGAAAGAAAACGAGUUACCAAUAUAACAUUGUGCCUCUUAAAAUUGAGUUAUAACUAGGGGUGAGCGGUUCUCGGUUCUGGUUCCGUUCCGUUUGGAACCUGUAACCUACUCUCGGGUAUAGAUUUAUCAUUUUUUGGAACUUGGAACUUACUCAUCAAAACUAAAAACCUGGAACCUACCUGUCACAAGUUCUAAGAUUGGUUUCAAGUUCCAACAGGUUUUUUUUUUUUUUUUCAUUUUCAUAUUUGAACUAUAACGAAGAAGGAAAGAGACAAACCAAAGCUUCUAUGUCCAUAAAUUGCCAAAAAUAGUUCCUUGGGAGGAGAAGCAUAAAACAAAAAAGCACAUUUUUGUCCCUUUGACUAAUGCCACUCCAAAUUCACCAACUGCACAAUGAAAAGUAAUUAAUUGGUGGUUAGACAACACUCAAUGAAGCUAUAUUUAAAGUAAUAUUGAAGAAAGCUGAGACAAGGAAAUAUUUUUCCUUCUGCUCACCAUGCCUUAAUGGAGAAAGCAAAAGAAUAAAUAGAGCCAUCAAACCAAACUCAAAACAAUUGAAGUGCCAUUUUAAGCUUGUUCUGUCUCCAUUUGGGCAACUUAUAGAAAACAUCCUUUGUCAUCCCAAAUUUCUCUCUGAACUCCAAUGAUGAGAAAUAAGUCUGCUACAUUUCAUGCAAAGCAAUGUCCAGGAACAAAAUGAUACAAUGGGAAAAUCUUAUUUAGAUAUUACCUCUUGCAUAGCUGAAAAUUUUUGCAUUGACUGCAGAACCAUCGUCCUGUAGACAGUAUAACUUCACGGCAAUGACAGCAUACAUACUGCAAAUGGACAACAAUGAAGUCCUCCUUAGCAGGCAGGAUUUUUUCCCCAAGCUGUUAUCAAUAAGAGAAAAAUAAUGAGAGCAUAAUUUAAAGAUACAGAAAAGAAGGUAAAAUCAACCAGCCACGAAGUUGCUGAACAGAUAUCAUCAUUUCUCUAAUAAAUGAAUCUUAUUCAGUCUAUGACACAAAAUGACAGUAUUAUAUACUGCUCAGUUAAACAAGCCGAUGCGGAUCUUGACAUUUAACUUAGCCUCUCGUAUGUUCAGAAAAACACAGGAUUAGAAAUUGCCACUAGAUUUGGCACCAUCUAAUGAAAUAGCAUCUUUUUCUUUUUGGUAAAAAAAUAUCAAAAAGAAAAAGGGUUUAAUACCUUGAAAAACCUCAAACUGAUACACCAGUGACAAAUUUACCCCAAAUUAUUUUUUUGACCAUGAAAAAUCUCAAACUGGUACAUCUAUGACAAAUUUACCCCGACUGACCAUAAGAAACCUUAAAUUGGUACAUUUAUGACAAAUUUAUCCCAAACUAAUUUAUGUGACGGCAAAAAACCCCAACCUGAUAAAUUUGUGACAAAUAUACACUCCGUUAAAUUGAAUUAAUACCACAAAAAAUCACAAAAAUUGUAAACUAUGACAAACGGAUCUUAAAAUCGCAAAUUGGUAUACCAGUCAAUUGUCAUGUGCUAUUUAACUUAAUAAUUUGACAGUAAAAUUUAACGAAAACUAAUAAAGGGUAAAUUUCUCACAAGUGUACCAGUUUGGGGUAAAUUUGUCAAAUGUAUACCGGUUUAGGGUUUUUGGUGGUCAAAAAAAUAGUUUUGGGUAAAUUUGUCAUAGGUAUACCAGAAAGGUCCAAACAGAACCUAGUGAAACUCAAUAAUGGCUAUGGAACUAUAGAUCUCAUGGAGUUAGCAUUAUGCAACUAACAUGUGUAGACAGAAUAGGAAAUCUUCAGGGAAAAAAAUAAGAUUGCUUAUUGUCAUACAAGGAUCCCGCAGGAGUAAAGCAACAACUCAAACAAAACAUGACAUGCAGUCAUCACAACAUCAAUUGCAGAGCACAAAAGCAAGUUAGAACCUACAGUCCUCAGCUUUAACAACUUAUCUGGAUUAGAUUAGUCCAGUUUCAUCCAUGAGUGGCUUACAAUGUUCAAUAAAAAGGUCAAACUGAAAUGGAUCCUUCAAAGCCUUAAGUGUACUACUCCACUAUCAAUCACAUGGACUUGAAAAUUGGAUCUUCCAGUUCGUAUUAAUAUGCAACAAGAGAAACAGACCCCAGCUUCUUGUCUGCUUUCUCAAUUCUCCCAUUUUUUCUAAGAAAAUUUUACCCAUAGUUUUUCAUCCCCUCAUAACCAAAUCCAGCAUCCCCCAUCAACACUACCGCCAAAGCAAACCCAAAACCAACAAUCAAAUAUUCACGCUGGAACUUAAUUUUGCUUUACGAAUUUCAUGAGCAUUAUACCAGCACUGAGUUUGUUAAGAUCUUGCAUGUACUGAAAAUAAUAAAUGAUAUCCAUAAAGCAAGCCGAGGGCACAAGAAAAUAUUGGAGCAUAAAGAGGCUCGCGGAAGGGAAAUAAAAUCAAGCACUUGGUGCCCAUUAUACCUGACAAUAUCCCACGCUUCCAUAGAAAGGGGGAAAAACAGUGGUCAUAACUUGCUACCUUGAAAACAAAAACACUUUGAAAUAGAGCUAAACAAAAGUAGUAUUCUUGCAAACAUGAAUUCCCCCCCCCCCCUAAAUCUUACAUACAAACCACAUUCGUUCAGGUCGCCGGCGGCAAAUAAGGGGAAACCAAGAAAAUGAACAAUAGCAACGUAGAGAGGGGGCAGCAAAGAUUACCGGCUCAAAAGGCGAGCUACGAGCAGCGUCGAGGGCAACUGGCCGACCAGUUCGGUUCUUCGAUUUCCGGUUCUAUCCAGGGACCACACUCACCCCUAGUUAUAACAUAGGUACACGAACCAUCUAACCGGCCCUACUUCUGACCAACCAUAUCAGGGUCAAGUUAGUCAGCAUCCUACUUUAUAUAUUCUCUUUCUGGCUUUCACCAUCCAUGAAAUCAAUAUGGAAGAGAAUGGUUUUUUACUAUCAUUUGCCAACAUAUAAUAAAGAGGAUAUCACAUCGUCUUCCAGGCCGUGCUUAUAUAGGCAAGUACAAAAGAAGAAUGGCAGACCUGUAAUAUACUCAAUGAACCUCCGCAAAAGUUACGGAGCUUCAUGACUUUCGAAGCAGAGAACACACAUUUGGAAAAAGAUCAAAAAGGCAUAAGUGCUCUCGACUGUUCACUUUCAAAGAGCAAGAAUCGAUAUCUCUGAGCUUCAAGAACGUAAUAAGCAGCUAAGUCUUGUCGGAUCAAUCUCCUUAGUCCCAUCAUCUUCAUCAACAUGUAUUCGAGUUUCCUUUUGGCUCUUUAUUUAACAAAGGCAUCCGCACCCUUGUGACUCUGAAGAGAAUCACAUUGGGUGUGGCAGUUACCCAUCCCACAUAUACCGAAUAAUUUAUGGGAGAUGUGCAUUCCUAUGCUCCUGGAUGACUCCAAGAAAAUACGCAAGAAUGAUGAUUCAAAUUAUGAUCUUGAACAUGAGAGAUGAACACACGUAUGACUUGAGCAACCCUAACUCAUAAUAGGACUUAUAACCACCGCCUAGUCCUUGUCAGCCUUCCAGUCAACUGCUUUUUUGUUAGGUAGCGCAAGCCAGGAAUGUUCAUCCUCAUUUCUUCUGGGAAAAUGAAGCCAGUUGGGUAGUCUCUAGUGAUUACAGCAUUUGAAUAUUUGACUAAUCCGUCAUUUCUGAAGCCGGCAUCAGGGGGGGCACCUGCAAAACUUGUUCUUGGUCAAAUCAGACAAAUGCAAGACCUGGACGUUACUGAUAUCAAACAAGUUUGUGUAUCUUGCCGUCCGAAAGUUGCUCAUAAUCUUACUCCUCUUUGAACUACUCUUAUUGUACUUGCAUUCUUUCCAAAUUAACGGAUCAAGAUGAUUAUCAACGCACCAAGAUAUAUUGCAUUCGUUUUCUUGAUUUCAGGCCUGAUCCUCUUCAUCCCAGACACUCCUGCCAAUUCACAAACAUAUCUUCAAGAGGGGAGCUCUAGUAAGGGCAAUUACACUGCUUUUGGCAAGUUCCAAAACAACCUCUACAGCCUCCUCGACAGGUAACUUCACAACAAAGGACGCGUUAACUGUUUCUACAACAUGACAGAAGGGGAAUAUCCAGACAAAGUUUAUGGUCUCUUCCUCUGCAAGUAAAUCACAUGGAAAAGACAUCCAAAGUUUCUACUUUUUAGUAAUACCUUUCAAUUCAAUCCUUAUAAUCUUUGGAAAACCUGAUGUGUUGGUCUUAAUUGAGAUCCUCUAAAAGUAUGGAGAUCCAAUGCCAACAAUUUGGUUAAUACUAUCCAAACUUAAGUGACUACUAAUGCAACUUUCCUAUCCUUUUUUAGAGGCUAUGUUGCAGCCAAUCUCUGUCAGUCUUGCAUCAAAUCAGCUACCGGCAACAUCUUAGAAUGAUGUCCAGGAGAGAAAGGGGUGACCAUAGGGUACGAUGAGUGUCUUGUGCGCUACUCUAACAGAUCAUUCUUCUGUAUCAUGGAGUCAAUGCUGGCUUUUUCAAUGUACAACCUUAUGAAUGUAUCAGAUCCCAACCAGUUCCUCCCGGUUGUGGGGGAAACUUUCAGGAAAGUGAUGGACUUGGCAAUCUCCUUAGAAAGCUUAUGCGUGACCAUCAAUGUUAGUGUCUCAAUUUCAGUGAGUUUGUGUGCACUUGCGCAGUGCACCCUUGACUUAUCAAAGUCAAUUUGUGAACAGUUGUAUGGCUGCUGCAAUCCUCUUUAUGAGGAAAUUAGAUGACAAGCAACAGCACAUUCUCCAACUAACAAAACCAGCAUUGAUUCCGGUACUAGAGGUAUAAAAAUUGUAUAAUGCUCAAAACGUGCAUUCAAUUUUCAUGGUUAGCAUAUAAAGGUACUCAUUAUAAGCUGUUUCGUGUAUCAUAAUGCACUUCAAUUGCUUUUACGAUCUAAACUAUGAUCAUUCUCUCUAGCUUUCUCUGAGUUCCUGUUACUAUUUACGCCUAGUGAGAAAAAUCUGCAGACUAAAUUCAAGGAAUCACUUUGUCUUGAUAGGGGUGAAACAAACAAAAGCUCCAUGGAUUGCAAUAGUUAGCUCAGUCACUGGAUUGUGUUUACUCUUAUCCAUCAUAGGUUCAUGCAUUUUUUUAAACAGGACAAAGAGAUUGAAAAAGGUAUAUAUGAAUUCAUCUUGCUUGCCAUUAGAAGACCAUCUUCUAAACUUUACCUUAUGAGAGUAACCUCUUAUACUGUCAGGGUAGGAAAACAGCCUAGAGGUUCAGUUACUGCAUCUGAGACUAGAAAUUGGAGUAGAGUUUUUAGAGGAAAACUAUCAAGGAGAAAAGCCAGUGGAUCCUCGAGAAUUCACUCUGAUACGAUUAGACGUUAUACGCGCAGCCACUGGGAACUUCUCUGACGAAUGUAAGCUUGGGGAAGGCGGGUUUGGUCCUGUAUACAAGGCAAGCAUUUCAGUGACUAAAUACUUAUUUAUGGGGAUAUUAGGAAAUUCUUCUAAUGGCAGCAAAUUGGCUGUCAUUAUUGUCAAAUCACCACUAACGUUACGCUGUUUCACGGCACAUUGGGAGAUGGAAAAUAAAUUGCAGUUAAGAGGCUUUCAAGAACCUCGGGCCAAGGACUCAUCGAGUUGAAGAACGAAGUCAUCUUGAUUUCCAGACCACAACACAGGAACCUCGUCCGAUUGGUGGGAUUCUGCUUGGAAGAACAUGAAAAACUCUUGAUAUAUGAAUACAUGCCCUUCAAAAGCUUGGAUGUCUUCCUUUUUGGUUUGAGCUUUAGCAGAUGAAAUGAAUCUUUUGGCGAUUUUUAUAAAGGGCAAAUCCAUUUGAGUCUCUCAUCAUCAACAGAUUCAAAUGUGGGGCAAUCUCUUGAUUGGAAGAUGCGCCUGAACAUCACCUGUGGAGUAGCUGAGGGACUUAUAUUUCUGCAUGAGGAUUCUUGCCUAAGGAUUAUCCACAGGGAUCUGAAAAGCUAGCAAGAUAGCAAUAUCUUGCUAGAUGUUGAGAUGAAUCCAAAGGUAUCCAAUUUCGGGAUGGCAAGGAUCUUCAGUAUAAAUCAAGACAAGGCCAACACAACAGAGUUGUUGGCAUUUAGUAAGCGCUUUCAAAUAUGUUUCUACAUCUGUUAUAUAUUUGAAUGAUUUACUAGGCCAAAAAAGAACUCUGAUGAUUAGUUCCACAUGACCAAAAUGUGAAGAUUCAUAUUUCAGAAGUUUCCUAUAAUCACUUGUGAAUUUUUUUCCUACUUCCAACUAAUUGCUCCUCAUCAUAUAGUGGACACAUGGCACCGGAGUAUGCGAUGGAAGGGCUCUUUUAUGUUAAAUCAAACAUCUUCAGUUGGAGUUCUCUUGCUAGAGAUAAUAAGUGGGUGAAAGAAUAAUGGUUUUCAUAUCUGAGAGCACGGUGAAAGCCUUCUCACAUAUGUAUGCUCCUAGUCUCCGUUCCAAUUUAUUAUGAAGUCCAAGAUUUUUGUGCAGCUAUUCUUGCUUAUUUUCCUUGUGAAAUGACAGGCAUGGAAGUUGUGGUCCAAAAAUUGAGGGUUGGAACAUACUGAUCCGUCAAUCAAAGGGUCAUGUGAUGGAGUUCCAGUGCUAAAAUGCAUACAUAUCAAUCUGUUGUGCGUUCAAGAAGACCCGGUGGACCGAUCAACUAUGUCACUCGUGGUUCAUAUGCUAGGAGGUGGUAUGAUCACCCUUACCCAAACAUCACAGCCUGCAUUCUCAGUUGGGAGAUAAGUGAAAACACUGGAUCCUAUCGGACCGAUUCACAAUGUUUCCACCGUUAACAAAGUAAACCAAGAAUCAUCACCUUUCUUCAGUUGUUUCUCUUCCAUACAAUGGAAAUGCUUCACGAUUUGACAAAAUAGAACUAGUUACAGUGUAUGAUCUCUUUAUUAUUGUGACUGCCAUUUCUUAAUCCUUGAAUUACACAAUCAUGAAUUAUAUAUUGUGAGGAAAAAAAAAAAAAACCUGUUUAGUAGUCGUCAUUUCUACUCUAAUUCACCACUAAUGUGCUUUAAGAAUAAUAGAUAUACUUACAUGAGUGAUAUAUCAAUAUUCAAUUCUAUAAGUACCUCAUUAAUAUAUAAGAAAGAAUAUACAUAUACAAAUUCAAUAAUCUAAUUUGAGUAUGUUCACCGAAAUCUUCAUUAAUGAAGAAUGUAGAGUGUUUAGAUAUUACAUCACAUCUGAGCCGUACUUAUUGCAUUCAAAUCUUUCCAAACUCAUGUUUGCCUCCCCUAUUAGAUAUUUUUACACUUCAGUCCCAGACUAAAGUUUAGCUUACACGUGAGGAUAGUGUUAGAUUAUUUAAGUAUUAAAUCACGCUUUUAUCUAAUAGCCUAAGAUAGAAAACUUUUUACAGAGGAGCUACCAAGUCAAGGCAUCAUUUUGUAGUAGUUUUGAAUGGGUCAUGUAACGACUUUCUAGACUUUGUAUCAAAUUUAAUUUGGCUUUGUAAUGUUUGAUUUAUUUUUUUAUAAACUCUUUUUUAUUUUGUAAUGGCUAUAUAGCGGUCAUCUUCUCCUUCAAUAAUUACUAAUUUAUUUACAAUUGUCUCUUAAAACUCUCUCUUUCUUUUACCUAUAAAUUGUUACUCCGAAUAUAAUUGGAAAGCGAAAUUGAUAUAUCAAAACAAAAAUAUUCCUCUUUACGUAUCUUUCAUUUCCUUGUUGAAUUAUACACAUAACUUUGUUCCCAUUCCUUCUAUUAUUCUAUCGCAUUGAGUUUCUACUUUGAGGGCUGGAAUUAUGCUUUAAAACGGUGCUUUGUACACCUCAAACAUUUGAUUUUAUUUUCUCAGCAUUUUCAAUAGAAUUCCAACAAUUAUUAUUUUCAUAUUAUCUAACAUUUUCCCAACAAUCUUGACGGUAAUUGCCUUAUGGAUUCCCUAGUCUCUGCUGUCUCGCACCAGUUUCUCCGGCGGUUUGAUGUUGGCUAGCGGUUUCACUGUCGCGAAACAUUUAAUCAUUGUCGUUGCGGCUCUUCUUAACCGACCGCGACUUAGUUCACUCCUUCGAUCGCGAUUCCAGUGGGGCAACCAUGACUCUGGCGGCUUUAUCUACAAUCUCCUGUCGUGUCUUCAGCUCUGCCGCUGUGUAUCCUUCUCCAUGACAGGCGAUGAUGAAAUCCAUUGAUGGUUUUAUCUAUAAGUUGAUGGGCCUUAGUAGGCCUGUCCGCCCAUGUUGGGCCUAAAAGCCUGGCCCGCAAAAUAAGGGCCCAUGGAGGAACGGUUGCGAUGUGAAAGGCUACGUUGUUUAGAAUGAGGAGUUGUGUCUUUUGGGGGAAUGUUUUACAUUGAAGAGUUACGUCUAUUAGAGAAGACGUAAGAGAGAAAAGAAAAAGGGAACGUACCCCUUCAACUUACGUACGUUGUUUUUUGUCUCUCUCCCCCCCUAAGAAACGUAAGAGAAUAGUACCCUCAAAACAACAUUUUUCCCCCUAAUAGCGAUAGCACGCUCCUCGGUAGAAAGAGAUUAAGAUUCUUCCUCGAACUUCAAGGUUGGUGUUUAAUCUGUGGACAAUAAGGUACACUCGAUUCCAUGGUAUAUCUUUGAUCGGUGAUACAUGUGAUUCCUGGGCUCGUCUUCCGCGUUCAUUUUAGGGGUUCGAUUAAGUAUCGGAAACGAUUUUAGGGAAUACGUUAUUCCCAACAUUAGUAUCAGAGACAUUGUUCAUAUUUCUUGAUCCCUUUUCAUGUUUAUGAUUUGUUUUUUGAUUGAAUUUUCAUGAAACACCGCCGUCAGCCGAUUGAGACGGAAAAAUCCCGACACCCACAUAUUGUUCCCCCUAUUUUGUAAUUUUCUGUAAGUCGAAAUUCGUUUUGAUAACGCAGGGUCGAAGCUCUUGUUAAUACAAGAAAAACGAGUCGCGGAUCAUCGCCAGGGGCCGCCAAACGUGCCGCCACACGCGGCUGGAACGGACUGGGGUCGUUGGCGCGUGCCAUGCACGCGCCAGCUAACGUCAUAGUGACGUCAUCCAAGCACGCGCAUGGCACGUACCAAUCGAUUCGUCCUACCGGCCCGACCGACCCGACUCGUCCGACCCGGCCUCAGCGGUCCGACCGGUUUGACCCGUAUCAGCCCGACCCGACAACUAUUGACCCGAUUGACCUGUUGAUUCAAUCCGUUGACCGUUGACCCCUUUGAUCGUUGACCGUUGACUUUGACCAUUAACUAAAAAAAAAAAAAAAGAGGAGGAAAAGAAUGUGUUUCUUUUGCCAAGUAAUUCUAUGUGGAUUAUAAGUAAUCCCUUAUUUGUUCUGCAUUUGUUACAAGAACAAUGUCUCCCUGUAAGGUGCGCACACCUAUUCGCGCAAAUUCAAAUGAACAAAAGGAAAGGCUUUCUAAGUUGAUAACUGAGCUAACAGAUUAUCGAUGGGAGAAUGGUGACUUAAUUGAUCAUGUUCUCGUAGUUAACAAUAAAAUACAACAGGUCAUAUGGAAUGGUCAUCUCAUGCCACAUUCUGAGAUGGUGUGAUUCUUCAUGAACAUUAUUCCACUAAUAUGGCAAGGAGUGUUGAAUCGCCUAUGGGAGGUUAACAGAGCUAUUACGUAUAAGAGGCUUGUAAUGACUUUUAUAGAUGAACAUUACCGGAUUGAAGCCAAAAAGACUGCGACCCAUGGAAUGACUUCGAUCUGGCGGAGAAUGGAUGUAUGAAGGAGAAAUCCUAAGGGAUACUCGUCUGUUUUACCGUGGCUACCUAGAAUGUCUCAAGAAUUUAAAGAAUAAAAGAUCAAUAAAUUAAACAAAAAUGAAUAUUUCCCAGUUCAUGUGUUGUCUUGGCGUUAGAUGUUUUUGACUGAUCUUUAUUUAAGUAUGCUUUAUGGACAUGUUAUGUAAAUGUUUUCUACCUAGAUGUUGUUGGUGUAGCAACUGAUAUGUUAGUUGCAUUAUAUGAAAGCAUUACUAUUCUAUCAUUAUUAGAUGUCGAAUAUUAUUUGCUUCUGUUAUUAUUGACCGUUGUGGAUAGUUCAUAGAAGUUUUUGUAGCUUUAAAGAAUUUAUUUUGUAUAAAAGAUUAUAUUAAUAAUAAUUCCAAGUUAUGAUUUUUGGAUGAUGAUUGGAAACAUAGUGACAUUUUGAUUCCGAAACCAUACUUGAAAUUAUUCAUUAAUAUGAUGGUUUGUGCAAAAUGGAUGCGUAAAUAAUAAGCAUUAAUAAUUCGUGCAUAUAUGUUUGAUAUGUUUAGAUCAAUGGCUUCAGCCACAAAGAGCAUAGUCACUGAGCUAAACAAAGGUGAGAAGCUCAAUGGCGAUAAUUUUGAAAUAUGACACAUGAAAAUCCAAUAUGUACUAGAAGAGCAAGAGGCAUUAGAAAUUCUUAACCUGACUAUGGAAGUACUUGAAGAUAGAAACAUUGCACAACAUAAGAGAGAUAAGGAUGCAUUUGCUACCUGGAAAAGAAAGAACUCUCUUGCUCACAUUACGUUGCUGAGUAGUAUGGAAAAUGAUGUCAUGCAAGAGUUCAGGCAUUUUGAGAAUGCCAAGAAAAUGUGGGAAGCGUUGAUAGCAAGAUUUGGUCAUGCUUUGGUGACCAGACUGAGAUAGCUUACUAUUAGGUUUGUCUCUUAUAAGAAGCCUCAUAGUCAGACUAUGAAGCAACACCUUAGAAAGAUGUCAAACAUGAUUAAUGAGUUAAAAGAUUUUGGACAUGUCCUGACUGAUGAGCAGCAAGUGCAGUGAUUCAUUCCUUGCCUCAAAGGUGGGAGCAUAUGAAAGUGCACCUAACCUAUAAUGAGAAUAUCAAAACCUUUGAGGAUGCGAUGCGUUAUCUUGAGCUAGAAGAGGAUCGUCUCUUGGCGGCUAAGCUUGAAACUGAAAUUUAUCAUGCUGGUUCCAGCUUACAUGGAGCUUUGAGCUCCAAGCACAAACGUCUUAACUGGUUUGAUAAAAGGAAAGGCAAGGAAGCAAGUUCUUCGGGGAAGAAACCUAAGCUUGACCAACAUGAAAGAGGAAAGCGUCCUCCAAUGAAGAAGUUAACAAGGGUGAAGUGUUAUAAUUGUGACAAGAAUGGUCAUUAUGCUCGCAACUGUCGUGAGCCAAAGAAGGUAUACACCCAUUGUACAUUUCAAAACUUUGCUUAUGUGUUGAGUUAUGUAUUCUUAACUGAGUCUAAUCUUUUGUGGACUGUGGAUUCAGGAGCGACAGGCCAUGUAGCGAAGGAUAGAGAAUCCUUCGUGAAAUUCUUAUGAGUACCAACUGGAACUAAAUGGAUCUAUGUAAGAAACUUCAAAGCAGAAGUAAAAGGGAUUGGCACCUGCCAACUUAACAUGCGUGGUGGACGCACUUUAUUCCUACAUGAUGUAUUGUAUGCUCCGGAGAUUCGUUAGAAUUUAUAUCUGUUUUAGUGUUGGUUAAGCUUGGUUUUAAUAUGAACUUCCAUAAUAGUGGUGUAGAUUUAUAUUUAGUUACAAAUUACUAUGGUUGUGAUUAUUUUCUAGAUGGUUUCAUUAUAUUAAAUAUUGACUAUGGUAAUGCCAAUGUUUGUUAUUCGCUUUUCACGUCUCCUAAUUUAUAUGAUAAUGAUGUGAAUGUGUGGCAUGCUAGACUUGGUCAUAUUGGCCAACAACGUAUGAAUAGACUAGCCAAAGAGGGCUUAUUGGGCAACAUUGAAAAAGUCGAUUUGCCCAUGUGUAAGCAUUGUCUAGUAGGGAAAACGACAAAGAAACCAUUUGAAAAAGGUAAAAGAGCUAAAUUUCCUUUGCAUUUAAUCCAUUCCGAUGCCUGUGGUCCGAUGAAUGUGAGAGGAAGGCAUGAGACUGUUUAUUUCAUCACAUUUAUAGAUGAUUAUACUCGAUUUAGAUAUGUUUAUUUAAUUUAUUAUAAAUUCGAAGCAUUGAGUUGUUUCAAGAGGUUUAUGAACUUGGUAGAAAAUCAAUUAGACAAGAAAAUAAAAGUAUUGAGAUCCGAUCGAGGUCGAGAAUAUUUAUCUGAUGAGUUCAGAAAGUUCUGUGAUAAAAACAAAUAAUAGAAAGACAGUUGUAUAUUCCAUAUAUUCCUCAACAAAAUGGUGUUGUGAAGAGAAGGAACAUAACCCUAUUGGAAAUGGUUAGGUCCAUGAUGACGCAUGCUAACUUACCCAUUACUUUUUAGAGUGAUGCGUUGUUAACUGCUGUUAUAUACUUAACCGAGUGCCUUCCAAAUCAGUUACUUCCACUCCAUAUGAGUUAUGGACAAGCAGAAAACCGAACUUAAGUUUUCUUAAACCAUGGGGUUGUGUUGCCUAUACUCAUGAGCCCUCUCACAAGUUUGGGAAAUUGGGUCCCAGAGGAAAGAAGAGUAUUUUUAUAAGAUACUCUAACACUCGAAAGGGUAUGUGUUCAUAGGUGAGCAGGAAAGUAGAAGUAUAACUGAAUUCGAAUCACGGGAUGUCACAUUCUUAGAGAAUGAAUUUCCUAAAAAAUGCGAAAUAGGUGAGGAUCUAAGUAGCAUCAAUACGCGACACGGACACGCGACAUGACACAACACGACACAUCGACACGUCAUUUCUUAAAAAUAUAGAAUUUCGACAUGUUCCGACACGUUAUAUAUUAAAUAAAUAUUUUUAUUUUUAAUUAAUUUUAUUUAAAUUCACAAAUAAAUAAAUAAAUAAAUAAAUAAGAACUUACAAUAAAUUUACACUAAUAAUAUUAAUAAAUCUAUUCAUGAAAAAUUAUUCAUAAUUAAUACGUGUGCAUAUUUAAAAAUAUAUUUUUUAUUUUAACAAAAAUUAUUCCCCUCAAACCCUCCCUUCUCAUUUCUCUCUCCCCCUCUUCUCCCACGCCACCACCCUAAAAUCUCCCCCCUUCGAUUUCUGCGAAUCUACCCCCACUCUCUCUCUCCCCAUCCCCUUCCCCCUACGCCCCCACUUGCUCCUGCGCCCCCAUCAAUUGCCCCCAUCCCCCUCGGAUUUCUUCCCUUCUCUCCUCUCUUCUCUCCCCCUCCCCCUCCCUUUACCCCCCAUGCCACCACCUGCUCCCCUACAAGGCUGCACCCCCCAUCAAUCCCCCUCCAUCCUUGUUCUUCCCCUGCUCUCUCUCUGUGGCAUCCUAGAAUUUCAUGACAACCCUUGGAUAUACCAUGAACCUUAUAAGUUGGAUUUUAUUGAUUAUUGUUGCAAAGUUUUAUGGCCAAGUGAAAAAGUGUAAUUAGGUCUUUAUAUAAGUGGGAAUUAAGGUGGAUUAUUAGGAAUAAUUGUGGGCUGUGUAUUUGAGGACCAAAUCAGCUCAAGACAGCCCAUAAUUUCCCACCAUUCGGCUGACCAAGCCCAGCCCGAGGAGCCCAUGAAGUAGUCGAUCGAAGGAGGGAGAGGCCCGGCCCAUUGAGCCCAUCAACUUGCAUGGCAAAAUUAACAAGUGGCAAGAGAGAUUAGCCAAGUAUCUAAUGCCAUACAAAUCAAAUCUAAUGAUGAAGGGGAAAGAAAAGAGGAGGGGCGGAUUGAGAGAUAGGGUUUUCGACCGAGAGAGAGAGAGAGAGAGAGAGAGAGAGACCGAGCGAGCGUGCGAGAGAAGAAGAGAAGAAGGAGAUCGGUUGCCGCUGUGAGUCCGCCUUGUCCCACCGUCGUGCUUGCUGUGAUUUUCUUUGGAUUAGAGGCAAGUAGAGUCCGUUAGCCUACACUUUACUUGUUGUAGUUGUGAUGUUGAAUGCAGGGAAUGUUUGAGCUGUGAUGUUGAAUGCUGGAAACUCGAGUGAAUGGAGGUAGUUUUCCAAGUGAGCUGUUGCAUGUAGGAACAAUCCGACUUUUGGUGAUUUCGUGAGCUGCAUGCAAUGUUCUAGUUGGAAUCUCACUUCGACUUCUUGAUAAAAGUUGUAGAGGACUUCUUGAAGAUUAACAUAUCAAAAUUUGAGGGAAAACGAACAAGUAUUUGUUGGUGAAACCAUUUUUCUUCAAAGAUACUAGAUUUGGAAACUGUUAUGUUGAUCUAUUGUGAUUCUGUGAAUUUUGUGCAAUUAUCCAGUCCGAAUUUGAUCUCGUGUCCUUGAUAAGAGUUGUAAAUGACAUCUUGAGGGGUAAUAUACUAAAAUUUGAGAAUAAACGAACAAGUAUUGAUCGGGGACAAUCAUUUUCUUUGAAAGGGUUAAAUCUAGAGAGUGAGCCGAGAGUUAGGGAGAGUUAUAAAAAUUAUAAAUUUUAAUCCAGAAGGAAUUAGACUUUAAUUUCUUCAUUGGACUUUUACUUCUAGGCCACAUCUAUAACAUAUUAAAAUCUCAGAAUUUACGAAGUUCAUUUAAGAGCUUAAUCGAAAUUAUUUCCGAAACUGUGCAAAAAUGGCGUUGGAAAUUCUGUUGCUGUGAUGUAUGGACCUAUGCGAUUGAUGUGAAACUGUCUUUGUGGCAUCCUAGAAUUCCUUCCUAAUCUUUAGGGGUAUUCUAAUUCAUGUCUUAUAUUAAGACUUUAGCCAAGCCUAUGGUGAAUAAUUAUUUGAUAAAAAUUUCUAUUUUUGGCCAUGAAGGAUUAUGGGUUGGAAUGUGUUAAGAUAGGUCACAAAGUCUUGUGAAUUAUAAAUUUCAAUUAGGUGUUUAUAAAAUUAAAGGUUUAAGGAGGAUUAUUAGGAUGAGAUGUGGGCCAAAGUAUUAGCUUAAGACCAGCCCAAAAGAAGCCCCACCCUUCGGCCAUUUGGGCCUAGCCGCGAAGCCCAAAGGAGGAGGAGGAAUAGUCAGCCCUUGGCUGGCCCAAGCCCAGCCGAAAGAUGGAGGCCCAUCUUGCAUGAAGAAGGCCAUUUGUCCCUCCUAGCUGCCAAGUGUUCCCCAUGCAAAAUCAAUGAUUGUUCAUCAUUGAGGGGAAAAAACUAAGGGAACCGGUUGAUGAUGAAGGGAGAGGGAAAGCGUCGUCGAUUAGGAGGGAGUGAGAGAGAGAGCUACCGAGAGAAAGAGGGAAACCGAGAGAGAGGAGGAGAAGGCCGCGCGAGGAAGAAGCCGUGUGUUUGUCCACCGUCCGCCGUGCGUCCGUCGCUCAUCACCAUCCGUGUGCUUGCUGUUUGCUCGGUCUAGAGGCAAGUUGGGAUCCUUAAUCUACUCUUGCAUGUUAUAUCUAGCAUGUGUGUUUGAAUGGUGAUGAAUUUCGGAUGUCUAGGGUGUUCUCGAGUAAACCGUCUGACCCAGAAUGUUGUAGUGGCUUGCAUGCGAUUUUUAAGUCGGCUUUUGGCUUCGACUUCUUCAUGAAAGUUGUAGAUAACAUCUUAAAGUAUAACAUACUAACAUUUGAGACAAAAUGGCUGAUUUUUUAGGGGUGAAACCCUCCCUCUACGAAAAUGUUAGAUCUGAAGCUGUUUUGUUGACCUCUUGGUGAUUUUGUGUGUUGCAUGUAACCUUUUACUGAAAAUUUCUCUUCUAUUCCUUCAUGAAAGUUGUAUAGAACAUCUUGAAUACUAACAUACUCAAAUUUCAGGUAAAAAUAACAAGUAUAGCCUAGUGAAACGAUUUUUCGUUUGAAGACGUUAGAUCUGGAAAUGUUGUACUGAAUCCCAGUGACUUCGUGGACUAUAAAGUGACUUUCCUUUGAAAAUAUCACCUUAAUCCCUAAUGAAAGUUGUAGUAAACCUAAUGAGGAAAAACAUAUCAAAAAUUGAGAGGAAAAUAUGGAAGACAAGUAGAUAAAAUCAUGAUUUUUCGGAGACGGCUAAACCUGGAAUGUUCGGUACUAGGAACAGGGCUUCGAACGUUCAUAAUUAAUUAUAUAGGACAAAUAUGACUUCAGUGUCUUCAUGAAAAAUUUAAUUUAGGAUCUUUACUACCACAUAUUUAAAUUUCAUAAUUUUUUAAGGUCAUUAUAGCAUUUAAUCGGAAAUAUUUCAAAACCCGAGUAAUCUGACGGGUACGGGUUUAGUCAGCUUCAAUGCAUGGAUCAUAUUUUUUUUUAUGAAGUUCUUUCGGUAAAGUGUUCUUCACGAAGUAUCAUUAUGUAUGUCUUUUCUGCAACAUAUUCAAAUUUCAUAUUUUUUGAAGUUCAAUUACCUAUUUAACCAAAAAUAUUUCAAAAACUGUGCAAGUUGUAUUGAUAAAAUAGAAAUGCUGUGAUGCGUGAUCUAUAUCAAAUUUUAUGAUGGUCUUUUUGUGCAGUUUCCUUCAUAUGAUAUCUGCCAUUAUGUCUUGACCAGCACACGUUCAAAUUUCAUAAUUUUUAAAGACCAAUUGGGUAUUUAAUGGAAAUAUUUUCUAAAACUGUGCAGGCUGGAUUGUGCGAAUUUGAAAUGCUGAAAUUUAUGAUUAUUCUGUUUUGGAUGAGCCCUACUAAUUAUAUUGGUUGAGGUGAUUGAAUCUUGCUGAGCAUGUGAUGAUAUUUGGCAUUGCAUAUAGAAUCAAAUGCUGAAUUUGACUUGGUUGUCAUUACGUCAUGUGCCAUGUUGAUUGUGAGACAUAAAUUGGUGAACAUGAAUUAUGAUGAAUGAGGAAACUGUUGGAGGUGGGUCGAUAAUGCCCUGGGGGUAUCAGGAUGCUCGGGAUGGGGGGUGCCGGAUGCCCAGUUGUAUUGUGAUACAUGCCCGGAUGUCCUCGGGAGUUUCGAAAUGCCCGGAAUGGUUGGGUGCCGGAAGCCUCAGAGGUUUGUGCCCGGGGAAUGCCUCGUGAUGCUAGUUGGGAUGCGAGAUGCCCGGAAUGUGGGGGUGCCGGAUGCCCGGUGGUGUGUGCCAGAGGUUUCUCGCGAUGCUAGGUGGGGGUGUGAGUGAUAAAAAUGUGGGAUGCAAUUACUGGUCCCGGGAAAGGAAGAUGUGGUGAUCAAAUUGAAAGAUAAAAGUGUAAAUUGAAUCAUGCACAUAUGAUAUGGUGACAUACGCAUGGCGAUGUGAUAUGAUGAUGAUAAGUGCAUAGUUGUAUGUGCACCGAUGGCAUGAUGAUAUAUAGAUGAUAUGAUGAUGAUGAGUGGAUGGUUGUAUGUGCACCUAUGGCAUGAUGGUAUAUGUAUGACAUGAUGAUGAUGAGUGCAUGGUUGUGUGUGCACCUAUGGCAUAAUGAUACAUGUAUGACAUGAUGAUGAUGAGUGCAUGGUUGUGUGUGCACCUAUGGCAUGGUAUAUGUAUGACAUGAUGGUGAUGAGUACAUGAAGAGGUAUGUACAUAUGGUAUGAUGACAUAUGCAUGGCUGCAAGGUAAGUAAUGCUUGGAUGCAUGAAUGACAUGUACUAUGCUAUGAUUGUUAUGAUUGUAUUGUAUGAUGCAUUGAGUGGUUUAUUGGAUCUUUUACUUGCUUAGUGAUUGUACUCACCCCUUCGGGAACCAACAUUCAGACUAGAAAGAUGCCGCUUCCUACUAUCACGCGGGGCACCUUCUAUGGCCUCCCAUCUGAUGUGGAGGUAGAGUGUAUGGAGAUCGACUGCAUUACCAUCCAUGGUCUGACGUUUGUGAGAGUGCGAGUGCUGGUCAUGUACGAUGUGGGCCUAGCUGAGGGCCUAGUCAUUCAGGAGUUUAUGUCGGUUCAUGUUCGCCGAGAUGGAGUGUUUAGGGGGAUGUUGCUGCCACCACCGCCCGACGCGCCAAGAUGGGUGUGAUGGCCGCGUGAGGGGUAAAAAGCUUAUGUUUCUUUUUGGGGGUAACCGACACUGAUAGAUGGAGGAUGACACGUGAUCGUUAUAGGGGUCAAGAUAUCCUUUUGAGAUGUGGCCAAGUGUAGCUAAAAAUUUUGGCUUUCUUUUGUUGUAUCGACCUGAGAAAAUCCAUCAUGAAAAUAUGUAAAUAAAAAUGGCUCGGCUUUAUCCUUUCCUAUGGUGCUUAGUGGUGUGCAUUGUACCAUGAUUGUUGGAGGGAGAGAUGGUGAUAUUCAAUUAUGCUUCCACUAAUAAGUUGCGCUGGGACCGUUUUUUUUUUUUUUAUAAAAAAAAAAAUGCCUAUGAACUAUGAUGUUUCUACUAAGAGAUGUAAUUAGUGUUCGUUAGGUGGAGCGAUAGGUACUUGUGGCGACCUUAGGUGGUUCGGGGUGCCACAGCCGCUGCCCCCCUUUUUGGUAUCAGAGUGAAUGAUUAUAAGUUGGAGUGAUAAGGAACCUCAUUUGGAAAUUGAGGAACAUGAUGACAAUGCACACCAUAGGAUAUUAACUGGAAUGGUUGGGUAACUUUGAAUAACGGGUGAUGAGUAAUCACUCGUAGAUCCUUAGUAGUUAUUAUUAGUUACUUUUAGGUGACAGUAACAUGGUUAUGUUAGUGUUGUUGUUUUUAAUGAAGACAUUGAGUCACAGAUAAUUCCUGAGGCAAAUGCUUGGAAACUGCAGGAAAAUCAUGGUAUGAUAUGGAAGUCAUCAUCCGUCAAGGGCCGAAGCCUCUGCUGCAAGGGCUGAACCCCGGAUGGAAGAUAUCCUGCAGGCAUUGGCCAAUAUAGGAAAUCUGAUGGAAAGACAAGCGCAGCAACAACUCUGAGCAGAAAGCCGUACUCAAGGACUGGUGGAGCAAUUUCUGAAGUUGAAACCACCUAAGUUCAGUGGAAUGGGAAGUCCUGAGGAGGCGGAGCAUUGGAUUGAUGGAAUGGAACGAAUUUUCCGAUUGUUGGACUGCAAUGAUGUUGAGAAAAUAACUUUGGCAGAGUACCAGCUGGAGGAAAAUGCAAAGUUUUGGUGGAGAGCUUCAAAGGACAUAAUCUUUCCACCAAGUACUGAUGUUAAUUGGGGAGAGUUUGUGAGAGCUUUUAAUAGAAAGCAUUUUUUUUUACUGUGCUAAGGACAAGAAAUUUCAAAAUUUGUUCAAUUAGAACAAAAUGAGCUGACAGUAGACCAAUAUGAGGCUAGAUUUUCUGAAUUAUCUAGAUAUGCUCCUAGGCUGAUUGAAGAUCAGGAAGAAAAGACUAAGAGAUUUAUGAAAGGGUUGAGAACUGAUAUCAGGAAACAACUAGUGCCUUUGAACAUAAGGGAUUACCAUGAGAUUUAUGAAAGGGCACAAUUAGUGGAGCAGGAGCUGAUGAGAAAACGAUCAGAGUUUAAGAAACAACUAAACUUUAAUGAUGUGAGAAGGGGUAAGAGACCCUACCAUGGUCAAGGUUAGACUUGGAAUGUGAAGAAAAAGAGCAAUUUUGGAAAUUUUGGGAGAGCAAGAAAUGGCCUGAAUAUAGGGAAAGCACCCUAUCAGCCUGAUGUUUGUCAAAGGUGUAAUGGGUGACAUGGCCCAAGACCUUGCAAUGGACGAUUGAGAUGUUUUGGUUGUGGACAAGUGGGCCACCUUAGGAGAAGUUGCCCACAAGAAAGGUCGCAAAUGAGUGUUGGCUCGGUGUGACAGGGACAACAGAGUGCUGUUAGAUCAAACUUACCAAGGAAUCCUCAGAGGCCACCAGCACAAGGAAGGGUGUAUGCGGUCACCCAAGAGGAGGCGAAAGCUUCCAAAAAUGUUAUCUCAGGUACGAUCCUUAUAAAUGGUAAAAAGGCAUGUGCGUUGUUUGAUAUGGGUGCUAUGCAUUCGUUUGUGUUUGAAAGAUAUAGGCAUUUGAGUAAAAUAGAAGUUACGCCCCUUGAGAUGCCUCUUUGUAUUUCCACACCUGUAAAGAAUAUGGUAUUGUCUACGCUAGUGUGUGGAAAUUGUAAAAUAUCAAUGGGAGGAAAGGAUAUGGAAAUAGACUUGGUCGUAAUGGCUAUGUAUGAUUUUGAUGUUAUUAUAGGAAUGGAUUGGCUUUGUAAGUAUCGGGCCAAAAUGGGUUGUUAUAGAAAAGUGAUCCAAUUUGUCUUACCUGAUCAGUCUAGUUAUGAAUUUUUGGGAGGUUAGACCAACCAAUCUAUAGCACUUAUCUCAAGAAUAGAAGCUCGUGCGUUACUUGACAAGGGAUGUCAAGGGUACCUGGCUAUGGUUAAAGAUUAUACUAGGGAAGAGCCUAAACUUGAUGAAGUUCGAGUGGUUAAUGAAUUUCAAAAUGUAUUUCCUGAGGAGUUGCCCGGAUUACCACCAGAGCGGGAAGUUGAGUUUGAAAUUGAAUUAAUGCCUGGAACAUGACCAAUAUCUAAAGCCCCGUAUAGGAUGGCCUUAGUCGAGUUAAAGGAAUUAAAGGUGCAACUACAAGAGUUGCUUGACAAAGGAUUCAUUAAGCCAAGGGCUUCACCUUAGGGUGCACCAGUUUUGUUUGUGAAAAAGAAAGAUGGGCCGAUGCGCUUGUGCAUUGAUUAUAGGCAACUGAAUCAAGUAACCAUUAAAAAUAAAUAUCAUUUGCCUAGAAUUGAUGACCUAUUUGACCAACUCCAAGGAAAUUCGGUCUUCUCUAAGAUUGACUUAAGGUCGGGAUACCAUCAGCUAAGAAUUAAGAAAGAGGAUAUUCCUAAAACUGCGUUUUGGACUCGUUAUGGACAUUAUGAGUUCCUGGUUAUGCCAUUUGGAUUGACAAAUGCACCAGCUGCAUUUAUGGAUCUAAUGAAUAGGGUAUUUAAGUCUUAUUUAGACCAGUUUGUGAUUGUUUUUAUUGAUGAUAUUCGGAUAUAUUCAAAAGGGCCUAAAGAGCACGAAUAGCAUUUGAGGAUAGUUUUGCAAACCUUAAGAGAUCAUAAGAUGUAUUCCAAAUUUAGCAAGUGUGAAUUCUGGCUAGACUAGAUAAUAUUUUUAAGACAUGUGGUAUCAGGAGAAGGAAUUGCAGUAGACCUGCCAAAAGUUAAAAUGGUAAUAAAUUGGCAAAGAUCGACAACACCUACUGAAAUACGGAGUUUCUUAGGACUGGCUGGCUACUAUAGGAGGUUUAUUGAAGGAUUUUCACGAUUGGUGGGUCCUUUAACAAAAUUGACUCGAAAGAACGUAAAGUUUGAAUGGAAUGGGGAAUGUGAAAGGAGUUUCCAAGAGCUUAAAAGAAAAUUGACCUUGGCUCCAAUCUUGACUAUACCAACAAAAUUGGAUGGUUUUACAGUGUAUAGUGAUGCAUCUCACAAAGGACUGGGAUGUGUUUUGAUGCAGCAUGGCAAGGUCAUAGCCUAUGCAUCUAGACAAUUGAAACCCCAUGAACUGAAUCACCCAACGCAUGAUUUAAAACUAGUAGCUAUAGUGUUCGCUUUGAAAAUAUGGAGUCAUUAUUUAUAUGGGGAAAAGUUUGAGAUUUAUACGGAUCAUAAGAGCUUGAAAGAUCUAUUAUCACAAAAGGAGUUGAACAUGAGACAAAGGAGGUGGAUGGAGUUGUUAAAGAAUUAUGAUUGUGAGAUAUGAUACCAUCCAGGGAAGGCGAAUAAGGUAGCGGAUGCUCUUAGUCGUAAGUCAGCUAUGGAGAUGGCUAGUUUAAGAAUGGCGGAAUGGAGUUUGUUAAAGUCCGUAGAAGACUCAGAGUUUAAAUUGAAAAUGGAUUGUCUUACAAAUAUGCUUAGUGCAUUAAGAAUUGAACCUGAAAUUAUUCAGAAAGUUAAGACUUUACAAGAAUCUGAUCUGGAAAUUAUGAAAGUGAAAGAUGCAGUGUCUUUAGGAAAAAAGACCAGAAUUUCAAGUCUCUGAAGAUGGAGUGGUAAGAUGCCAAUGAUGACUCUUUGUUCCCGACAACGAAGAGGUAAAGAAGGAAAUUUUGUCGGAGGCACAUAAGAGUAAUUACAGUGUUCAUCCAGGUAGUACAAAGAUGUACAGGAAUUUACGUCAGCAAUUUUGGUGGAAUGGUAUGAAAGCAGAUAUGGCUAAGCACGUUUCUCAAUGUUUAAUGUGCCAGCAAGUAAAAGCAGAGCAUCGCAAACCCGCAGGACUUUUGAGACCGUUAGACUCACCAGAAUGGAAAUGGGAACAUAUAACAAUGGAUUUUGUGCAAUGAUUGCCAAGGACAUCAAGUGGUCAUGACUCUAUCUGGGUAAUAGUGGACCGUCUAACCAAGUCUGCUCAUUUCCCAUUUCCUAGCAGUUCGCAUAGACUACCCAAUGGACAAAUAUGCGGAUUUAUAUGUAAGCCAAGUGGUACGCUUACAUGGUGUUCUGGUAACUAUUACCUCAGAUCGGUAUUCAAGAUUUACUUCGAACUUUUGGCGAAGUCUUCAAAUUGCCUUGGGAACUAAACUCCAAUUUAGUACUGCUUUUCACCCUCAGACAGAUGGACAAAUAGAAAGAGUAAUCCAGACAUUAGAGGAUAUGUUGAGGGCUUGUGUGAUUGAUUUUAAGGGAAAUUGGGAUGAAAGAUUGCAUUUGGUGGGGUUUGCUUAUAAUAAUAGUUUUCAGAAAAGUAUAGACAUGGCUCCCUAUGAAGCAUUGUAUGGAAGGAGAUGUAGGACUCCUGUCUGUUGGAAUGAAGUAGGUGAAAGGAAAUUGACAGGACCUGAACUGGUACAAGUUACCACUGAAAUUGUCAAAAUUAUCAGGGAAAGACUUAAAACAGCUCAAAGUAGACAAAAAGACUACGCAGAUAGGCGUAGAAAGCCUUUGAAAUUUAGUGUGGGAGAUCAUGUAUUCCUUAAAGUAUCUCUGAUGAAAGGAAUAUCUCGAUUUGGAAUGAAGGGUAAGUUAAGCCCUAGAUUUGUUGAACCUUUUGAGAUACUUGAAAGAAUAGGAGAUGUGGCUUAUCGUUUGGCGCUGCCUCCUAAGUUGGGAAAUUUGCAUGAUGUGUUUCAUGUAUCCAUGCUGAGAAAGUACCAGCCGUAUCCUGGUCACAUACUCGAUCAUGAAGCCAACAAAGUGGAUGAGAAAGUGAGGUACAUCGAAGAGCCUGUGCAAGUAUUGGAUCGGAAGGAACAAAUUCUCAGGACCAAGAGAAUCCCAUUGGUUAAGGUAUUAUAGCGACAUCAUGAUAUGGAAGAAGUCACAUGGGAAAGUGGAGAUCGGAUGAAGGAAAAGUACCCCUAUUUGUUUCAAAAGGCAUGAGUAACUAUCUAAUUUCGAGGACGAAAUUCUCUAAGGAGAGGAGAAUUGUGGCAUCCUCGAAUUCCUUGCUAAUCUUUAGGGGUAUUCUAAUUCAUGUCUUAUAUUAAGACUUUGGCCAAGCCUAUGGUGAAUAAUUAUUUAAUAAAAAUUUCUAUUUUUGGCCAUGAAGGAUUAUGGGUUGGAAUGUGUUAAGAUAGGUCACAAAGUCUUGUGAGUUAUAAAUUUCAAUUAGGUGUUUAUAAAAUUAAGGUUUAAGGAGGAUUAUUAGGAUGAGAUGUGGGCCAAAGUAUUAGCUUAAGACCAGCCCACAAGAAGCCCCACCCUUCGGCCAUUUGGGCCUAGCCACAAAGCCCAAAGGAGGAGGAGGAAUCGUCGGCCCAUGGCUGACCCAAGCCCAGCCAAAAGAUGGAGGCCCAUCUUGCAUGAAGAAGGCCAUUUGUCCCUCCUAGCUGCCAAGUGUUCCCCAUGCAAAAUCAAUGAUUGUUCAUCAUUGAGGAGAAGAAACUAAGGGAACCGGUUGAUGAUGAAGGGAGAGGGGAAGCGUCGUCGACCGAGAGGGAGUGAGAGAGAGAGCUACCGAGAGAGUGAGGGAAACCGAGAGAGACGAGGAGAAGGCCGCGCGAGGAAGAAGCCGUGUGUCCGUCGACCAUCGGUCGACUGUCCGCCGUGCGUUCAUCGCUCAUCGCCGUCCGUGUGCUUGCUGUUUGCUCGGUAAAGAGGCAAGUUGGGAUCCUUAAUCUACUCUUGCAUGCUGUAUCUAGCAUGUGUGUUUGAAUGGUGAUGAAUUUCGGAUGUCUAGGGUGUGAAAAACCCAAGUUUUGAUUGUGUUGUUUUGAAGUGGUAAGCUGUUCUCGAGUAAACCGUCUGACCCAGAAUGUUGUAGUGGCUUGCAUGCAAUUUUUAAGUCGGAUUUUGGCUUCAGCUUCUUCAUGAAAGUUGUAGAUAACAUCUUAAAUUAUAACAUACUAACAUUUGAUACAAAAUGGCUGAGUUUUGAGGGGUGAAACCCUCCCUCUACGAAAAUGUUAGAUCUGAAGCUGUUUUGUUGACCUCUUGGUAAUUUUGUGUGUUGCAUGUAACUUUUUACUGAAAUUUCACUUCGAUUCCUUCACGAAAGUUGUAGAGAACAUCUUGAAUACUAACAUACUCAAAUUUGAGGUAAAAAUAACAAGUAUAGCCUAGUGAAAUGAUUUUUCGUUUGAAGACGUUAGAUCUGGAAAUGUUGUACUGAACCCCAGUGACUUCGUGGACUAUAAAGUGACUUUCCUUUGAAAAUAUCACCUUAAUUCCUUAAUGAAAGUUGUAGUAAACCUCAUUACGCAAAACAUAUCAAAAAUUGAGAGGAAAAUAUGGAAGAUAAGUAGAUAAAAUCAUGAUUUUUCGGAGACGGCUAAACCUGGAAUGUUUGGUACUAGGAACAGGGGCUUCGACCGUACAUAAUUAAUUAUAUAGGACAAAUAUGACUUCAGUGUCUUCAUAAAAAAUUUACUUUAUGAUCUUGACUACCACAUAUUUAAAUUUCAUAAUUUUUUAAGGUCAUUAGACAUUUAAUCGGAAAUAUUUCAAAAACCGAGUAAUCUGACGCGUACGGGUUUAGUCAGCUUCAAUGAAUGGGUCAUAUAUUUUUGUAUGAAGCUCUUUCGGUAAAGUGUUCUUCACGAAGUAUCUUUUUGUAUUUCUUCUCUGCAACAUAUUCAAAUUUCAUAUUUUUUGAAGUUCAAUUUCCUAUUUAACCAAAAAUAUUUCAAAAACUGUGCAAGCUGUAUUGAUAAAAUAGAAAUGCUGUGAUGCGUGAUCUAUAUCAAAUUGUAUGAGGGUCUUUUGGUGCAGUUUCCUGCAUGAAAUAUCUGCCAUUAUGUCUUUACCAGCACAUGUUCAAAUUUCAUAAUUUUUAAAGACCAAUUGGGUAUUUAAUGGAAAUAUUUUCUAAAACUGUGCAGGCUGGAUUGUGCGAAUUUGAAAUGCUGAAAUUUAUGAUUAUUCUGUUUUGGAUGAGCCCUACUAAUUAUAUUGGUUGAGGUGAUUGAAUCUUGCUGAGCAUGUUAUGAUAUUUGGCAUUGCAUAUAGAUUCAAAUGCUGAAUUUGACUUGGUUGUCAUUACGUUAUGUGCCAUGUUGAUUGUGAGACAUAAAUUGGUGAACAUGAAUUAUGAUGAAUGAGGAAACUGUUGGAGGUGGGUCGAUAAUGCCUUGGGAGUAUCAGGAUGCCCGGGAUGGGGGGUGCUGGAUGCCCGAUUGUAUUGUGAUACAUGCCCGGAUGUCCUUAGGAGUUUCGAGAUGCUCGGAAUGGUUGGGUGCCGGAAGCCUCGGAGGUUUGUGCCCGGGGAAUGCCUCGUGAUGCCAGUUGGGAUGCGAGAUGCCCGGAAUGUAGGGGUGCAAGAUGCCCGGUGGUGCGUGCCCGAGGUUUCUCGCGAUGCUAGGUUGUGGUGCGAGUGAUAAAAUGUGGGAUGCAAUUACUGGUCCCGGGAAAGGAAGAUGUGGUGAUCAAAUUGAAAGAUAAAAGUGUAAAUUGAAUCAUGCACAUAUGAUAUGGUGACAUACGCAUGGCUAUAUGAUAUGAUGAUGAUGAGUGCAUGGUUGUAUGUGCACUUAUGGCAUGAUGAUAUAUAUAUAUAUAUAUAUAUAUAUAUAUAUAUGACAUGAUGAUGAUGAGUGCAUGGUUGUAUGUGCACCUAUGACAUGAUGGUAUAUGUAUGACAUGAUGAUGAUGAGUGCAUGGUUUUGUGUGCACCGAUGGCGUUAUGAUAUAUGUAUGACAUGAUGAUGAUGAGUGCAUGGUUGUGCGUGCAUUUAUGGCAUGGUAUAUGUAUGACAUGAUGGUGAUGAGUACAUGAGGAGGUAUGUACAUAUGGUAUGAUGACAUAUGCAUGGCUGCAAGGUAAGUUAUGCUUGGAUGCAUGAAUGACAUGUAUUAUGCUAUGAUUGUUAUGAUUGUAUUGUGUGAUGCAUUGAGUGGUUUAUUGGAUCUUUUACCUGCUGAGUGGCUAUACUCACUCCUUCGAGGACCAACAUGUCAAAUUAGAAAGAUGCCGCUCCCUACUGUCACGCGGGGCACCUUCUAUGGCCUCCCAUCUGAUGUGUAGGUAGAGUGUACGGAGAUCAACUGCAUUACCAUCCUUAGUCUGACGUUUGUGCGAGUGCAAGUGCUAGUCAUGUACGAUGUGGGCCUGGUUGAGGGCCCAGUCAUUCAGGAGUUUCUAUCGGUUCAUGUUCGCCGACAUGGAGUGUUUAGGGGGAUGUUGCCGCCACCACCGCCUGACAUGCCAGGAUGGGUGUGAUGGCCGCGUGAGGGGUAGAGAGCUUAUGUUUCUUUUUGGGGGUAGCCAACACUGAUAGAUUGAGGAUGACACGUGAUCGUUAUGGGGGUUGAGAUAUCCUUUUGGGAUGUGGCCAAGUGUAGCUAAAAAUCUUGGCUUUCUUUUGUUGUAUCGACCUGAGAAAAUCUAUGAAAAUAUGUAAAUAAAAGUGGCUCGACUUUAUCUUUUCCUGUGGUGCUUAGUGGUGUGCAUUGUAUCAUGAUUGAUGGAGGGAGAGAUGGUGAUAUUCAAUUAUGCUUCCGCUAAUAAGUUGCGCUGGGACUGUUUAAAAAAAAUGCCUAUGAACCAUGAUGCUUCUACUAAGAGAUGUAAUUAGUGUUCGUUAGGUGGAGCGAUAGGUACCAGUGGCGACCUUAGGUGGUUCGGGGUGCCACAGUCUUGACAUGGUGUUCUUCAUGAAAUCUCUUUCUCUAGAUCUUGUCUGCAUUAUGUUAAACUUUCAGAAAUUAUUGAGAUUUUUUACUAAUUUUUCAAGAAUUAUUACUAAAGAGGUGCAUUUUGUUUUAUCCGAAAAUUGUUCUAUUUUCAAAAACCAAUAAAUUGCUUCAUGAAAUGUGAUAUCGUGGGUAUUAUUUGUACUGCAUAUGUGGUGACAUUUAGCAUGUCAUACAGCAUAAAAAAGACUAGUUUAGACCUCGGAUAUUAUUGCAUCAAAUGCUGAUUUGAAAAUGAGAUAUAUAUGUGAAUAUACAUUGUGAUGAUAAUGAUACUGUCGGAGGUGUGAGCCGACGAUGUCCCGAGAGUGUUGGGAUGCCCGGAGUAUGUGUGCCGGAUGCCCGGUGUGUGUGCGCCGGAGGGUCCUUGAGAGUUUCGGGAUGCCCGGUGGUAUAUCGGUACGUAAUUCCAGGGGAGGCCUGGUGGUAUGUCAGUACGUAAUUCCGGAAGGCAAGAGUAACCAUUUUCAUGGCGAGCCCCGGCAAUUUCUCAUGAUACUAGGUGGGAUGCGAGAUGCCCAGAGUGUGUGUGCCGGAUGCCCGGAGGUGUGUGUCGGAGGUUCCUCCCGACACCAAGUUGGGUGCAAGUGAUAUAUGAGGGAUGCAAACACUGGUCCCUGGGAGAAAGAUAAGAUCCUUUUGAAUAUCAAAAUGGGAAUUGAAUCAUGCACGUGUGUGUGUGCAUAUGGCAUGUGGUAUAAUUGCCUGUGAAAUUGAGUUGAUACUAUUUGGCAUUGAGAAUGCGAUCAUGAUGGCAUUGAAUGGAUCUCAUGAGGAUAUACAUGAUUGUGUGGAUGACAUGAAUCAUGCGUAUGGGUAUGUGCAUAUGGUAUAAGAUAUAAUUGUCCAUAAACUUGAAUUGGUAUUACUUGGCAUGGGAAAUAUGAUUAGUAAGGUCGUGAAUGAAUCUCGUGGACAUAUAUGUAUGAUGGCAUGGAUGAUAUGUGCAUUUCGCAUGAAAUUGUGAUUGUCUUGCCUGUUGCAUUGUGUAGUUUGAUGGAUCUUUACUGCUGAGUGGUUGUACUCACCCCUUUAGGGACCAACAUUUCAGAUUGAGCGAUGCCUCUAGCACCUGUCACGCAUGGUAUAUACUAUGGCUUACCAUCUAAUGUUGAGGUCGAGUGCACGGAGCACCCUUGUGUCAAUGUUCAUGGUCUGGUGUUUAUCCGAGUCCGUGUUUUGGUUAUGUAUGAUGUGGGCCUACCUAAUGACCCUGUAGUUCAGGAGUCCCUUUCUGUACAUGUUCAACGCAACGGACUGAUGAUGGGGAUGUUGCCGCCGCCACCGGCCGAUGCACCGGGUUGGGUGUGAUUUGGAGCGUGUGACUGGUGGAGGACGACACUUUUUGGGAUGGCCGACACUAGCUGAUGGAAUGAUGUGCAUGUCUGAUGUAUAGUCGGGUACUUUUGAGUAUAGCCGAGCUUAGUUAAAAUCUUGGCCUUUUGUUGUACCGACUCGUGAAAUCCAUCUUAGUUAUGUAAAUAAAAGUGAUUCGGCCCUAAAGUAUAUAUAUAUAUAUAUAUAUAUAUAUAUAUAUAUAUAUAUGAAAGGUUGUAAUUGGUGUGUAUUGCAUUGUAUUAUUUGGUUUGAUUACAGGUUAGAGAAAUGAUGAGUAUGCUUUCGUUAUAUGAACUGCGCCGGGACCGAUUAAGGUAAUACAAACCCCCAGGUUGUAUGCACCCGCUACAAUUCAAAUGGUAUCAGAGUGACAUGUUAUUAGGACAAGCUUUAAGUAAACGAACUGUGGCAACCCUAGCGGAUCAAGGGCCAUCGAGGGCUACCACACUCUCCCCCCUCCCCUCCCCCAUCAAUCACCCCCUCAGUUUCUUCCCUACUAUCUCUCUCUCCCUCCCCUUCCCCCCACGCCACAACCAGCUUCCCCUUAGUUUCUUCCUCAUUGUCGCACGAUCUUCUCAACUCUUUCGAUCGCCUCAUCGCUGUCACCUUCGGCCCUUCCUCUUUCGCAGUAGCUGCAGCCUCACCGCCAGCCCUCCAUCGCAACGUCACCUCAGUUUAUGCUCUUCCUCUCGCCGUCAUGGCCUCACCUCCACUUCCUUGGUCUCUUCCUCGGCCUCACCUCUACCCACCAUCAUCUUCUUCAACAAUCUCUCUCUCGGACACGCAUGUCGAGAAAAGUUGACCACGUGUCAGAUUUCUCAACACAUGUUGACCACGUGUCCGAUUGUGUCUGAGCGUGUCCGAGCAUGUCGAACACGUCAACACGUGUUGGACAUGACACAGAAGCCUCGGCGACGUGUCCGUGCUUCAUAUGUGAGGAUUACUUCCUAUUUGAAACCUUGGAUCCAGAUAAUGAAUUUAAUGGAGUUCGUCCAAGUAAGAGUAACAUGAGAAGUGAUGAAUUUAAUUCAACUCACUCUCGAUUACAACCACAUGAUGAAACGAUAUUGUCAUUAUCUAAUCCGAGUGGGAGCAUAAUGGGGAAUGAUGUGCCAAGUGUACAAUUUCUCAUAUGGCGAACAAGUCACAAAAGUAUUCCCCGUCGACGCUUUGACAUUAAAGGGGAAACUUUUAUGGUUGCUCCACGAGAUGAAGAUGAGCCAAGAAAUGUUAAUGAGGCUCUAAAUUGCCCUAGUAAGGAAAAAUGGAUGCAUGUAAUGGAAGAGGAGAUGGAGUCAAUGAAGUCAAACCAUGUUUGGGAACUGGUUGACCUUCCAAAAGGACACAAAACUAUUGGGAACAAGUGAGUUCUCAAAAUAAAGCGUAAAGCUGAUGGCUCGAUAGAAAGGCAUAAGGCUCGCCUUGUGGCGAAGGGGUAUAAUCAACAGGAAUGAAUUGAUUAUGAAGAAAUAUUUUCUCUUAUAGUGAGAUUUACCUCAAUUUGUAUUAUUCUAGCAAUAAUGGCUAAUAUAGAUCUUGAGUUAUAUCAAAUAGAUGUAAAGACUACUUUCCUCAAUGGAGAAUUAGAGGAAGAAAUAUAUACAUAUAUAUAUAUAUAUAUAUAUAUAUAUAUAGAACAACCUGCUGGUUUUAUUAUGGAAGGCCAAGAAGGAAAGGUAUGUCAACUUUUGAGAUCGAUAUAUGGCCUUAAGCAGUCGUCGAGACAAUGGUAUAUACAUUUUCAUAAUGUCAUAAUGGCAUAUGAUUUGACAAUGAUAGAUGAGGAUCAUUGUGUAUAUAUCAAAAGAUCCAAAGAUCAAUUUGUGAUCAUAUCAUUAUAUGUUGAUGAUAUACUAAUUACUGGAAGCAAUAUGGAGUUUGUUAAUACUGUCAAGGGUUGGUUAUCUUCCAACAUUGAGAUGAAAGAUAUGGGUGAGGCUAUAUACAUUCUUGGAGUUAAGAUUUCAAGAGAUCGUUUGAAGAGAUCAUUAUCUUUUUUCGCAAGAAACAUACAUAAAUAAGGUUCUUGAAUGAUUUCGUAUGCAAGAUUGUAAACCCAUAGAUAUUCCUAUUGCAAAAGGUGAAGGAUUGAGCCAUAGACUAUGUCCAAGGACUCCACAAGAAAAUGAACAAAUGAAACAUAUUCCUUAUGCUAAUGUUGUAGGAUGUUUAAUGUACGAUAUGAUGUGUACAAGACCUGAUAUAUAUUUCGCAGUUGGAAUUGUGAGUAGAUACCAAUCUAAUCCAGGUCAAGCACAUUAGAAGGCCGUUAAAAGAAUACUAAGGUAUCUGAAGGGAACUGCUGAUUACAAGCUAAAUUACCAAUGAAAGAGUUUGCGACUUGAAAGCUAUUCAGAUGCUGAUUGAAGAGGAGAUUUAGAUGAAAGAAAAUCUACCUUUGGUUUUGCUUUCUUACUGAAUAAUGGCGCCAUAUCUUGGAGCAGUAAGAAGCAAACGUGUAUAGCCUUGCCCACGAUGGAAGCUAAAGCAACAGUACAUGAAGGUGUCUGGCUUAAGAGAUUUUUGGAUCAUUUAUGUGUUAUUGGGAAUGUUGCAAAUCCAUUAUUGGUUAAUUGUGAUAGCGAAGCAGCUAUAGCAUACACCAAAGAUCUAAAAUAUCAUGGCAAGACCAAACAUAUAGAUACAAAGUAUAAUUUUGUCAAGGAUAUGAUUGCACGAAAAGAUGUGAACUUACAGUACAUUUCAACAUAUAGAAUGGUAACAGAUCCUAUGACAAAGCCAAUACUUAGAGAUGUGUUUUAUGAUCCUGUAAAAUCUCUAGGACUGUAUAGAGGCUGAUGUACUAAAUAUUAUAAUUUCUCUGAAGUGUUCACAUUUAAUAAAUUUAUGUUUUUCAUUAUUAAUGCAUAUGAAUCUUUGUUUGACGUUUAUGCAUCUUAAUACUCAGUGCAUUAUAUUAAGUUGAGAAAGUCAGACGGAUAAAAGAUUAGCCCACUCACACAGGUAAUCGCCUCUAUUUACUGUGUGAUAAAUAGAUAUGAGACAGUUUUUAAGCUUAUUAUCUAGGUGAUAAUCGAGAGCUCAAGCUUAAAAUACAUAUGUCACAUUAACUGAGUGUUAAGAUGAGAACAUAAUAUUUAUUAUGUCCGAAAGUAAAAUAACCCACAUAUUUUACUUUAUCUGUCUAUGAUGCCAGAUGUGAGUUCUGAUAAAUUCUGUGUAUGAGUAGAUAUGUGAACUCAAGUCAGACAUUGGGUAUGUCUGAACUAUCAUCUGUACGGUAUUAAAGAUGUAGACAUACGCUCCAUAGGAAAUAAGUUAAGUACUGUAAUACAUAUUUCAUACUACGUAUGCAUGAGCCGACCAAUAAGAGUAGCAAAAGUUUGAUCUCAACUUUUAUAUCGUGUGAGACUCUUGAGGAAAAGAGUUCCUCAAUUUAGUGCCCUCAUGACUCUUACUUAUUCUCAAAAUUUAUAUUCAGUGUUUGCUAUCUUAGGAUGUUGCCAAUGAUCACGAAUUUAUUCGAUCUAAUAGGACAUUUCUAUAAAAGCAAGCUGAACUUAAAUUGUGAGUUUGAAGAAAAGAGGAAUAUCGAAUUUGGAGAAUCACAUUCUAGUUUUGUAUUCACCGGUCGACUAAUUAUGAUUGUUUUUGGAAUAAUCAUAAUUGUGAAUAUAAUAUAUCACUAUUUAAAAGGAGAUCAAGAGAGAGAUAUAAAUGUGAUCGAUCGAUCUAGGGUAUUGCAUACUAAAUCUACUAAGAGUGUGAUGCCUAUUAUAAGCUGCUAUAUAUUCCUAACAGAUGUAUGGUAACGAGCUCUAAAAGUAUGCUGGUCGCACAAAUUAUUCACCGGUAUGAAUGUUGCAGAGAGGUAAAGAGAAUCUUGUUCGGCCCACCAUAUGCGAGUGGGAGAUGAUGGUUUUAUCUAUGUGUUGAUGGGCCUAAAAGCCCAACCCACAAGAUAAGGGCCCAUGGAGGAACUAUUGCGAUGUGAAAAGCUACGUUGUUUAGAAUGAGGAGUUGUGUCUUUAGGGGGAAUGUUUUACGUUGAAGAGUUACGUCUAUCAAAGAAGAUGUAAGAGAGAAAAGAAAAAUGGAACGUAGCCUUUCAACUUACGUGCGUUGUUUUUUGUCUCUCUCUUCCUCUAAGAAACGUAUGGAACGAUACCCUCAAAACAAUGUUUUCCCCCCUAAUAGCGACAGCACGCUCCUCGGUAGAACGGGAUCAAGAUUCUUCCACGAACUUCAAGAUUGGUGUUUAAUUUGUGGACAAUAAGGUACGCUCAAUUCCGUAGUGUAUCUUUGAUCGGUGAUAUAUAUGAUUCCUAGGCUCGUCUUCCACGUUCGUUUUAGGGGUUCAAUUAAGUAUCGGAACCGGUUUUAGGGACUACGUUUUUCCCAACAUCCAUCAACUAAGACCUACACCUGCAAGAGGGACUAGUGAACUUCAGGGCGUUCAGUGGAAAUGAAGUCAGGGCGUAGGAACGUGACCCAUAGCACAGCUACUUCAUGAUAGCUAUGCGCGUUAUCACCUCACCACUACCAAAACCACAAUCAAUCUUGAAUCAUCUCACUCUACUGAUUCAAGCCAAGUAUCGUUGUUGGACCAUCAGGUCAUUUCGUAUCCAAUUAAACUCAAAUUCACUUAUUUAACUCUACUACAUUGUCUAGCUGAGUAUCCUAGGUCAUAUUUUGUUUUGAAUUGUUAGCUAUUCUGUUUAUUGGAUGCUUCACACCAUAUGCUCACAACCUGUUCAACAAAAUGCCUAACUCAAUGUGGAUAGUUAGUUCCUACUGCAUUCUGUUUCUAAACGUUUUGAUGUCCAACUGAUGUUGAUUGCGUCUUGCUGCAUUUCCUGUACAUAGUUCAUUAAUAUGCAAACGGACUGGAUAUAUAGGUGAUGUAUGUCGAAUGUUGUUCAUGAGUGUUUUGAAUGUAUCGAAUCCUGUUCAUAUGUGGUUGUGCAUGUCAAAUGAUGCUCAUGCGCGUUACUUUGAGAUCGUGAGGUGCUAAAGGAAAGAGAAGAGAAUGCGGGGCGUUAUGAAUUAGAGGUGAAUUUGAAUGAAAUAGGCUUAGUUUGACUAUUCUCUUACCUGCUCGUGAUAAUGGGUAGUGUCUAAUCUCUUUUUUAGGGUUCAAAGCAUGUUUACAAAUCACUGUCAAUGUACAAUUUGCUUUACAUCUGCUAGACAUUGCUUGGCAUUUUUGGACAUACUUCAUUGAACAUGAUUCCUGAUGAAUUUGGCUUAAUUUAAUGCUAAUUUACUUGUUUGUAAAUAGAGGCUCACAUGUCAAUAGUUUUUAGGUACUUUUAAGCAUGUUUAGACCUCAUUUUUAGUUCCAGUUCAGGACCGUGCUUACUGGGUGUUGCUGGACCGUGCAUACCAGUAAUGUGGUCUAAUAUAUCCAUGAUAUGGAUUUUUUUGUGGCCAGUAUGAUGACAUGGAGUAAGUUAUAAAAAUAAAAAAUAAAAAUAAAAAAUAUAUGAGAAGAAUGAAAAACAAGAACAAGCGCCAGCACACACCAAGAAUUUUGUAUGUUCCUACUCACAUCCCAUUUUUAUGUGAAAUCCAAGAAUUUUGUGCAGAGUCCUUCCUUAUUUUUCUCGCAAAAUGACAGGCAUGGAAGUUGUGAUCUAAAGAUUGAGGGUUGGAACUUACUGAUCUGUCAAUUAAAGAGUUAUGCGAUGGACUUCAAUUGUUAAAAUGCAUACACAUCGGUCUAUUAUGCAUUGCAGAAAAUCUGGCAGACUGACUGACUAUGUCAUUUGUGGUUCAUAUGCUAGGAGACGAUACUAUCCACAAUACUAUCGCACUUACCCGAUCAUCGCAGUCUGCAUUCUCAGUUGGGAGAUAUUUGAAAACACUUGAGUCUAUCAGCCCGAUUCACAAAGCUUCCACUGUUAAUGAACUAACAAUUACAAAUGUUUCACCUAGAUGACCAAGUAUCAUCAAUCCUCCUCCAGUUCAUUUCUCUUUUAUACAAUGGUAGGUAGAAUGAUAAUUACAGUGCGUGAUCUCUUUAGCAUUGUGACUGCCACUCCUAAAUCCUUGAUUUCCGCAAUCAUCAAUUAGUAAUUGUAAGGUUAAAAAGCCCGAUAGUCGGCAUUUCUAUCCAAUUUACCACUUUUGUUCUAUCAUAAUUAUAGAUAUACUUACUUGAGAUAUAUAUCAAUUUGUAACCCAUUGAUAAUUAAAAUUUAAGCAUAUAUAAAUUUAAUAUUUUACCUUUAGUAUAUUCAUUGAAAUCUAAUUUGUGAUGAAUAUUAGAAUUAAAUAAAAUCUAAUUUGUGAUGAAUAUUAGAAUUAAAUACUAGAUUACGCAUGAGUAGAAAGUCCUGAAUUCAAAUCUCUCUAAACCCCCAUGUACCUCUUUUACUUGCCAAUGUCCUAUGCAUGUGGAGGAGUGUUGAUUAUUCAUACAUUAGAUGACGUCUUCAUCUAAUAGUUUAGAGAAAAUCAUUCAAAAAGUCUUACACCUAUUGUACUUUUGUUAAUUCAAUCAUAAACAUUUUUACCUUUUGUCAAUUGACUCUAUCCGGCUAAGUUUGAUAGAAAAUCGCUAAUGUGAAUGCCGGAUGUCUUAUAUGUCACAUGAACAUUUUAAAUAAUAUUUAAUAACUUUUUUAUUUUUUUAUUAUUUUUAGGGAAAAUCUCAAAUGGAGACCCAAAGUGACCACAUUUUCUCAAAAGAGGACUUGAAGUGGAGUCUAUCUCAAAUAAGGCCCCAAAGUAGUCAUUUAGUCUAAAAAAAGAACCCGACUUGCUGACCGGCGUACUAACGCAUUUUCAAUGCGUAUUCCGAUGACCUGAUCUGGGGCAUUUUUGUCCCAAAAAUAUUCUCUUUUCGUUUUCCUUCUCCUGUUCAUCUUGUUCUUGAUCUACCCAUGAUUGUCCAUGUUCAUCAUCUUCUUCGUCAAUGUUGAAGAUAGGCAUUGUGCAAAUCAACAACAUUGGAAGUGGGGAAAGGCUGGUGAAGGUCUUGGGGUCGGCGAGGGUUGGCCUCGCCUGGGGCCAACGAGGGCUUGAUGCCCAUCGUCGACAACAGGUGCUGGAAGCGGGCGAGGGCUUGCAAGCCCUCACUCGCUCUUACCAAUGGCCAACGAGGUCGGCGAGCCCUUGCCGGCCUCGCCGAACUCACUGAGGACAAAACUAUCCUGCAAUGGCAUCAUCUUCUUCCUCCUCUUUGUCUCCGCUUCCCUCGCACGGAGCAACCUCGACAUGCUCCUAAAGCUUAUAAUUGCCUUGGUCGGGCCUCCCUCCACCGCCAUCGGCGACUAGGUCAACUCCUCCUCCUCCUCCUCCUCGCCGUCGCCCUUUCCGCAUUGCUCCUUCACCAGAGUCACGUGCGAUGCCAACUCAUGGGUCGUCUCUCUCAACAUCAUCUUUGUCGGCCUCUCGAGCUACAUCCCACCCAAAAUUGGCCUUCUCCGCGACCUAAUCAACCUCACGCUCGCCACCGAAAACCUCACCGAGACCCUCUCGCCAAAGCUCGGUAGCCCCACCUCCUUCCGAUUCCUCAACCUCUCCAGGAUCUUCCCCAGCAGAGUCUUGCGGGCGAUAACCCAGCUCGAAGAACUCGACUUGGGCAACGACAAGUUCAUGGGGCCGCUGCCGCUGGAGGUGGUGGGGCUGAAGAAGCUAAAGUGGCUCGAUCUCACUGGCAAUUACUUCACCGGCAAGAUACUGGAGGUUUGCUCGGAGAUGGAGAAGAUGAACAUGGGAAAAGGAAAAUGAAAAGAGAAUAUUUUUUGGACGAAAAUACCCUGAUUAGGUCACUGGAAUACGCAUAAGAAAUGCAUCAGUUCAUUGGCCGGCGAGUCAGGUCCUUUUUUUAGACUAAAUGACUACUUCGGGUCCUUAUUUGAGACGGACUCCACUUCAAGUCCUUUUUUGAGAAAAGGAAGCCACUUCGAGUCUUUAUUUGAGUCCUUAUUUGAGAUUUUCCCUUAUUUUUUGUGGCAUCCCAAAAAUAACUCACGGCCAUGUGUUUUGUAAGUAGGAGUUUAUUGAAUUAUGAUUUCAAGAUUUAUGGCCAAGUGAAUAAGAAUGAUCUGGUAUUUAUAUAAAUGGAUAAUUAUUGUUGUUGGAAAUGCAUCCUAUGUUCAUGUGAGACCAAGGAUUUUAUUUGAUGAGGAAAUUAUGUAUUUGGCCAUGAAUUUUAUAAGUUGGAUUUUAUUAAACUAUGUUGCAAAGUCUUUUGGCCUUUUAUUAUGCAAUUAGGUAUUUAUUUAAAUUGAGGAUUAAGAUGUAUUAUUAAAAAUAAACUUGGGCCAUUUAAGUUUGGACUUUAGGCCCAAGUGAGAUGGGCCUAAAGUGGGCAAGAGGCCCGGCCCAUAGAGCCCAUUGGGCUGUCGGCGCAUGGAGGGGGAAGGAGGAGCCGCAUGGCUUCCUCCAAGUGUCUUCGGCAAAGGAGACACUUGUCUCCUUCUUAGGGACAAGUGUCCCCCAUGCAAGAGAAGAAAGCAUGCAAUAUAUAAGCCACCAAAAAGAAAGAGAGAGAGAGAGAGAGAGAGUGGCUGGUUUUGAGAGAGUGAGAGAGAGGGAGAGAGUUGCCGAGAGAGAGAGUGAGAUGCGAGAGAGAGGGAGGCCGAGGAGGAGGAGCUCGCCCGUCGCCGCCAGCACGCCGUCCAUCCGUCGCCGGUGUGCUGUUCGUGUGCUGCUGUCCGCUUGGUUCUAGAGGCAAGUAGAGAUUGAUUUCUACUCUUGCAUGUGUGUCUUGCAUGUGUGGUUGAAUUCUUGGAUGUUUAGAGGCUAGAAAUCGAAGUACAUGAGGUUUGUUCUUGGAGAUGCUUGCUGUUUUCGCAUGAACCGCUCGACCCAGAAUCUUGUGAAGGCUUGCAUGCAUCUUUUGAGUUCGAUUUUGACUUUUAUCUCUUCAUGAAAGUUGUAUCUAACAUCUUAAACUACAAUACACUAAAAUGUGGUGCAAAAUGAUGGAGAUUUAAGGGGUCAAACUCUCAUCCUACGGAGAUGCUAGAUCUGGAAUGUUUUCGCAUGAACCGUUUGAGUCAGAACUUUGUGAGAGCUUGCAUGCAUGUUUUGAGUUCUAUUUUGACUUUUAUCUCUUCAUGAAAGUUGUGGAUAAAAUCUUAAAAUAAAACAUACUAAAAUUUGGUACAAAAUUAUGGAGAUUUGAGGGGUCAAAAUCUCAUCCUACGGAGACACCAGAUCUGGAACGAUUUCACUGACCUUUCGGUGGAUUUGUGGUUGCAUGUUGAUUUUUACUAGGAAUAUCUCUCCUAUUUCUUCAUGGAACAUGUAGAUAACAUCUUAAAAUAUAACAUACUCAAAUUUGAAGUAAAAUGAACAAGUACAACCUAGUGAAUCGACUUACUCUUGAAGAUGGUAAAUCUGGAGACACGGUACAGGACACCCGAGACUUCAUGGACCCAUAUGAUGACUAUACUCUGGAUAUUUGACUUAUAUCCCUUCAUGAAACUUGUAUAGAACAUCUUGAAGUAAAACAUAUCCAAAUUUCAGAGGAAACGAAGAAUAAUAGGUAGGUGAAGACUCAGUAUUUCGGAGAAGCAUGCACUGGACGUUUUGGUGUUAGAUCCAGAAGCUUCGUAUGAUUAUAGAAAAUAAUAUAAAACGAAUUUGGCUUAUAAGUCUGCAUGAAAAAUAUAAUUUAGUGUCUUGGAUAUAACCUGGUAAAAUUUCAUAAUUUUCGGAGGUCGUUUGGAUAUUUUAAUUAAAUUAUUUCGGAAACUGUGCAUUCUGUUUCUAUCCGAAAAUUGCAUGCUGUUUUGUGUGAAUUGUACCUUCUUGUGUGAACUCUAUUGGGCAUGUGUUUUUCAUGAAAUUGCUAUCUUAUUGUCUUGUCUAGUACAUGUCUUGAUUUCAUGAUUUUUUAGAAGCAUAUGGAUAUUUAAUUUAAAUAUUUUCUAAAAUGGCACAUGCUGGAAUUUUGUAAACUUUGAAAAGGCAUGAAAUAUGGACCACUUUAAAUUGCAUGGACUCUAUGAAUUUUAUUGUUAUGGAUGAUGGUGUCUUGCUGCAUGUAUGAUAAUGAUUUGAGAUGCAUGUAUGAAUUCGAUGAUGAGUAUGAUCUUGAUUGCCAUCACAUCACAUGCUAUGUUAAAAUUGAACUAUAAUUGAAGAUGAGAAUUGAGAUAAAUGAGAAGGCUGUCGGAGGUGUGAGCCGACGAUUCCCCGGGAGUGUCGGGAUGCCCGGUGGUAUACGGUACGUAAUUCCAAAGGAGGAGGGGGAUCCUGGUGGUAUGUCGGUACGUAAUUCUGGAAGCCCCAGAGGUUUGUGCCCGGGGGGAUGCCUCGCGAUGCUAGUGGGGAUGCGAAAUGCCUGGCCAGGGAGUAUAAAUGCCAGAAGCCCUGGAGGUUUGUGCCCAGGGGGAUGCCUCGUGAUGCUAGUUGGGAUAUGAGAUGCUCGGAAUGUGGGGGGCCGGAUGCCCGGUUGUAUCUUGGAUACAUGCCCGGAUGGUUCUCGCGAUGCUAGGAUUGGGCGCGAGUGAUGAAUGUGGGAUGCAAACAUUGGUCCCGGGAAAGAGAAAUGUGGCGGUCCAAAAUGAAAUUGAAAUUGAAUUAUGCAUGAUGAUAUAUGCAUGAUAUGAUGAGAUGUGCAUGGUUGCAUGGUAAUGAUGAUGGUACAUGUGAUAUGAUGAUGAGAUGUGCAUGGAUACAUGGUAAUGAUGAUGGUACAUGUGAUAUGAUGAUAUGAUGAUGAUGUUACAUGCAUGAAUGCAUGGUAAUGAUGAUGGUACAUGUGAUAUGGUGAUAUGAUGAUGAUGUUAUACACAUGGAUGCAUGGUAAGGAUGAUGCCAUAUGUGACAUGUUGAUGGUAAGUGUAUGAUAUGAUGAUGAUGUCUAUAUGAUGAUGAUGGUACAUGAGGUAUCAUGACAUGUGCAUGAUGCCAUGGUAUGUUGUGCAUGGAUGCUUGUAUGACAUGUGAUGCUAUGAUUGUGAUGAUUGCAUGGCAUGAUGUAUUGAGUGGUUUAUUGGUCAUUUACCUGCUGAGUGGUUGUACUCACCCCUUUUGGGGAAUAACAUUUCAGAUUAGAUAAGAUCCCUCUGCUGCCACUGCUACCAGUAGAUGAAUCAAGUUGUUGGAUAUGAUUGCGAGGAGGAGGAUAUCAAAGGGAGGAACUUUUGGACGCCGACACAAAUCGAUGGACUUUAAAUAUUCGACUGUUAGAAGAGAUGUCGGUCAUCUUUUGAAGUAUAGCCGAGUAUAGAAACAUUGGCUUUCGAUGUACCGACUAAAUAUGUCCAUCUGCUUUACGUAAAUAAACGUGUUCGGCUUUAACUUAUAUAAGAUGUUUAGUAGAUGUGCAUCGUUUUCUGAAUAUAGGGAAGGGAGUUUGUUAGAUGUGCUUCCGUAUAUGAAUUGUGCAAGGGACCUAUCAAAAAAAAAAGUGUGAACCCCCUAUGUUGUAUGGACCCGCUGCAAUUGAAAUGGUAUCAUAGUGACAUGUUAAUAAGGAAAGUAAAAGGUAAGCGAACUAUGGCAACUCUAACGGAUCGGGGGCCGUCGAGGGGUGCCACAUUUUUAUUCAUUCCCUUUCUUUUCUUUGGACUCAAGUCGACAAGGGUAUCGCGGCCUUGCCCUAAAAGAGGAGAGGGUGUCAUGGCCUUCGAUUGGGGCCAAGGCUAGCAAGGGUCACCAUGCCCUUGCCUUGCCUAUAUUUGGCAUGGGCAAUGCGGCCAUUGCCAAACUCUUAAACCUUGCCUAGUGGCUGACAAGGGCCAUACACCCUCUCUAGGCCAAAUCCAAAAAAUGGUAAAGAAAAAAAAAACAUUAUUAGAAAUUCAAUAUGUUAAAAUAUCAUUAAAAAUGUUUACAUUAGUAUCAACCAUGCCAUGUAAGACGUUUGGCAUCUACGUCAUCCAUUUAAGGCCAAAAUUGCCCAGAUGGAUUCAAUCGACAAAAAGUGAAAAUAUUUAUAACUCAAUUGGCACAAUUGGAAGGUUUUAAAUUGAAUUGGCAAAAGCACAAUAGGUUUAGGAUAUUUUGGAUAAUUUUGUUCACAAAAAUUCAUAAUUAAUGACCUAUUUUCAUUUGAUAUAAUUAAGUAAAAAGAAAACAACGUGUAAUGCCAAGCAAUAGUAUCAAGUAGGGGUGUGCAACCAAACCAGUUCUACCCGAGACUUGGAUCGGACCGCCUGAAAAAUAGGUCCACAAACCGGUUCAGGAACAGGUUCAAAUUUUUGGAACUAGUUGUAAUAGGUCUAGUAAUAGGUUCCGAGUGAAUAUCCACUCGGGAACUAGAUCAAACCGUCCUAUUUUGGAAUCGAUUUUAUAAGCUAAAAAGCCAAAAUCCUAAUUUCUUUUUCCCAUAAAUUCUAACCUUAGCACUUUUUCGUCCUUUGUCCUUCCUCAAAGCUCCUCACCAAUCUUUCCUCUUCCCUAAAGUUUUAUGGAUGAUUGGAGAAUGGAAUUUUAUAAUUUACGUUAUAUGUUACAUGUUUGAACUUUUUGUCAUUAUAAUUGUAUAGGAUUACGUAUUCAUAUUAUGGAUUGUUGUUUAUGGUGGAUAAUGAUUUAUGUUGUUCAUCUUUUACAUUAAAUCGUUUCGUUACUCAUAACCUUAUAUGAUUUUGCUGCAAAAAAUGAACCAAAAAAAGGCAAAAAAAAAAAAAAGGUUCUCGAGUAGACUUUGGAACUGGACUGGAAAAAUAAGAUAGGUUCCAGAACCGAUUUCAAGCAAACAAGGUAGUCCAAAAACUUAGAACUAGUUAUAACAAAAUACGUUCAGGUUACCUUGAAACUACCCACAUUGGAACCAACCACCCUUAGUAUCAAGUAAUGCAUGCAGAUGACUCAGCAACGGUAUUUGUCCACUAGACCUGCUCGUAGGCGCCCAAGGGAAAAACAUUAGCUGGCCAAGCUCGCCUAGUGGAGAAACCUUCCUUCUUUUAUUUUUAAAAUUUCUAGCUAGGGAAAAAAUGAAAAUGAAAAAUAAUUAUAGGGUUUUGUGUUAUAUUAUCUUAUAUGUGAGUUUACUACUAUUUUUCUCUCCUAUAUCGGAAUUUUGGGCUUAAUUUGUGCUACUAGUGUUUAUAAAAUCUACAUAUCAUAGUAAACUCACUAAUAAAAGGAAAAGCACCAAAACAUAUAUUAGCGUUCAUGAACGACCAUUCAUAUAUCUUUACUUUUGGAAAAAAACAAAAACAUGCUAAGUGUUACUUUUGAAAACCACCCUUCACAUCAAUUAUCAGUAUGUCUCCUUUUACUUUGUAAAAUGCCCGCUCUAAAUCCUAAUUUAUCACACCCACCCAAAUUAGCCAAAACCAACUAAAAACUAAACCAUUUAAACCCUAAGCAAUAUACUAAAAUGAAUUUUGCAAGGAGGGGUAAUUUGCUCUUUUCAAGGUGGAGUUUUGCUUAGAGGUUAUAUGAAUGGUUUGCAAAGAUUGUUUAUUCGUUGGGUCAAAAGUAAGGUAUUUAGACAUAUUUUUGUAAAUUAUUUUAAUAAUAAGGGCGCAACAAGACAAGCCUCAAGCCCUUGCCCAGACCUAGCCCACCCGUUGACCAGACUUGUCCAAGCUCACUAAAUAGGCUUAAAAAAUUUAGCCAACCCCACUCAUGAAUCAGGUCUAUUAGCACAAUCACAAGAGUUUGCCCUAAUGACCACCCUUCCAACAUGAAAAGAGAAGGUAGAGAGUUUGAAUCUCCACAUUCUCAAGGGACUGGGGUGGGAACAGAUUAGUUUCAAGUGUGAGUUUAGACUCUCACGUUCUGCAAAGAGGUAGGGCAAAAAUUUAAGAGAGAAUUAAAAUAGGAGUAAAAUAGGAUUGACAAAAAAAAAAACGUCUACUAGCGCGAUAUAAGCAAAAGUUACUAAAUCUGACCAAUCAUAUCUAUCAAAUCAAUGAGGAAAAAAAAAUAUUUUCUAUUAUCAUUUGCCAACAAAUAUUACAGAGAACAAAUCAUUGUCUUUCAAAACGUACUUAUAUAAGAAAGUACAAAAGAAAAAUGAUACUCAUGCGAUAUUCCCAUUGAAUUUGGGCAAAAAUUACGAACUUUGAUGAAUAUUGCGUCGAUCUUUUGAAACGCAAUAUCUUUCUCUAACACCUCUUACAAGACCCCAUAAACUGGGUUGCUCACUCAAAGCAUAGAAAAACACAUUUAGAAGAAAUUCGAAAAGAUAUCCAGAGCUGUUCACAUAUAAAAGGAGUGUUAGAUUUUGAAGAGCGAAAAAUCAACAUUUCUGACCUUCAAAAACGUGGUGAGUUCUUAGUCCCGUGUCUUCGUCAACAAACACUGGAGUUUCGUUAGAGCAUCCUAUUUAUUUUUUCUACCUAUAACAUAUGUGCCCUUAUCCCUUCGAAACAAAUCUCAUCAGGUAUGAUAGUCCUCCGCUCCCACACAUGGAAAAAUUCCUAUGCUUCUGGAUGACCCCAAAAGAAUGUGUAGGUGCGGCGAUUUGAACUUGGGCCUUGAUCGAGGAGGAACAUGCUUAGGAUGAUGACUCAUAACCAUUCAAGUCCUUGUCGGAUCUUUUGGGUUUGACCCUUAGUUGAUUUGUAUCCAUUGUGGGGACCAAACCACUCACAAAAAAAAAUAUUGGGAAAUUCAGAGCAAAUUGGAUCUAUUUAUAUUUAGUGCUGGCCUUUAUUGGCUCUUUGUCGGGACCCCGUUUAACAACUUUUUUCGGUCUUUUGGGUUCCACCCGAUCGUUGGGAGUACAAGCCGGGAGCGUGGGAACGUGGAAAUCGUCCCUGUUGACAGGGGAACACGGAAAUCGGACUAAUUCGCCUUUGCUAACCCCGGCAUCUGGGAGAGCAGCUACAAAACUUGGUUCUUGAUCAAUUUCUUUACCUCGCCCUCCAGAAGUUGCUUAUUAUCGUACUCCUCUUGAGUUGAAAGAAAGUUCAUGGCGGUCUUUGAAUUACUCUUAGUGUACUUGCGUUCUUUCCAAGUUCAAGAAAAAAAGAUUAUCGAUGUACCAAGAAAUAUCUCCUUCGCUUUCUGGAUCUCAUGCCUGAUCCUCUUCAUCCCAGGCACUCCUGUGAGUGCACAGACAUACCUUCAAGAGCGGUGCGGAGAUAGGGGAAACUACGCUGCGUAUAGCAAGUUUCAACACAACCUCAGCCGCCUCCUCUCCAGGGGGCUUUACAACAAGGACCCAUUUACGGUUUCUACAACACGACGGAAGGUGAAGAUCCCGACAAAGUUUAUGGACUCUUCCUCUGCAGGUAAAUUACAUGUGAAAACAUACCAAAAAUUUCAACUUUCGAGUAAGACCUUCCAAAUCAAUCAUUGCAAUCUUUGGAAUCGGUUCACUCAGAGGUAGGAUUCAUAAUGGACCCGAUACAUUGGACUUAAUCGAAAUCCUCUACAAAGUACGGUGAUUCAAUGCCAAUCGAAAAAUUACUAUUCAGAUUUAUGUGACUACUAAUGCAACUUUACUAUGCCUCUUUAGAGGGGAUGUUGCUGCCAAUCUCUGUCGGUCUUGCAUACACGCAGCUUGCAGCACCAUCAUAGAAAGAUGUCCAGGACAGAAAGAGGCGAUCAUAUGGUACAACGAGUGUCUCGUGCGCUACUCUAACAGAUCAUUCUUCUCUAGCAUGGAGACAACACCAAUUAUUUUCAUUGUCAAACCUGCGGACGUUUCAGUUACCUUCAACUGGAUUGUGGGGCAAACUUUCGAUAAGGAGAAGGACUUUGAGGUGGAAGUGUUGGAUUUGGCGAGGAAUGUCACGGACUUGGCGAUCUCCUCAGAAAGCUUAUAUGCGACGAUAAACCUUAAUGUCUCAAGUUCAGUGACCCUGCAUGAGGUUGUGCAGUGCACCCCGACAUAUCAAAGUUAGAUUGUAAGAGUUGCUUGCUUUCUGCCAUCAAAGAGUUCCCUACCGUUCUUAAUUAUAAAAGGGGAGGUGGGAGAAUUUUUCAGCCAAGUUGUAAUCUGCGGUACAAAAUGUAUCGUUCUGAUCAGGCACCAACUAACAAAACCCGCACUGAGUCCGGCAGUAAAGGUAUGAGUUAUAUAAUACUCAAACUGUGCACUCAAUUUGUCAUGGUAAACUUAUAAUGGUACCAUUCCAUCGUUUCUAAUUCUCAAUAUAAGCUGUUUUGUGUAUCACAUUGCACUUGACUUGCUUUUACUAUCUAAACUAUGAUCAUUCUCUCCUGCUUUCAGCAAGUUCUCUGGUACUAUUUACACUAGGUGAAAAUAAAAAAUCUGCGGAUUUAAGGUUGUUUAGAUGCAAGGAAUUUCUCUUUCUUGACAAUAGUUAGCUCAGUAACUGGAUUGGGGUUACUAUUAAUUAUCGUGAGUUCGUGUAUUUUUUCAAAGAGGACAAAGAGAUUAAAGAAAGGUAUAAGUGAAUUCAUCGUGCUUGCCAUUAGAAUGACCAUCUUCUAACCUUUACCUCACGAGAGUAAACUCUUGGAGUCUCAGAAAAGGAAAACAGCCAAGAGGUUCUGUUACUUCAUCUGAGACAAGAAAUUGGAGAAGAGUUGUGACAUCCAGAUUUUCGGGUUUUAAUUCGACUGGAUAAAUAGGGCCAUUUUGGUUCAGUUGAAGCUAGGGAUCGUGAAAUUGGGAUGCAAGUGGGCUAUAUUGGUAGGGAAAAAUACCAAUUGGAAUGACGAGGUGUUGAAUGAAAUAAUGAGAGUCAAUUUAAAUUGAAUCAAGAGGAAUUAUGGUCCAAUUGGGAAGAAACCCUAGCAAAUUCGUAUGCCCAUAGACCCAAUAUUUUAAACUACCUAAAGUCUUCUAGAAGGGUUAUUUUGGGGCUUGAAAGGUGGGUGGAUGACAGCCAUGGUGGCCCACGUAUGGCUGACCUAAGAGAGAGAGAGAGUGAGAGAAAAAGAAAGAAAAUUUGGUUUUCUCUUCUUCUCUUCUCUCUCCCGUCGACACCCUUUCUCCCUCUUCUUGCUGCUCGUGCCAUGGCUGUGCGAAGACCAGAGCAGCCGAAGCAGCAACAGCAGCUUCGCCCGUCGCCGCCUCUCGUCGCCGCCGUCGCACGCCCGCAAGCACCGGAGCUGCUCGCGCACCCGAGCCGCCGCCGAGCUGCCGUCCGCGUGCGUCCGCCCCUCUCCUCCCUCUGGUUCGAACAGAACCAGCCAGCAGAAACAGAAGCAGCGAUCGGUGUUGCUUGAAGGAGCUACAAUCGCGCCGGAGCUGCCUUCGCCGUCGUGCCGGAACGCUGCCACCGUCCGUCUCUUGCUCGCUUGCUUGAACGCCGUCCACCCUCUGUCUUCCUCUCCGUUUGCUGCUCGGGAUCUCAGAUUUGGGAAGACACCGGAGUUGGGGCAGCAGCUGGCGUUGCUGGACCGGAGCUGCCGCACCGCCGCCAGUGCGACGCCGUGCGCUCCGCCGCUGCUCCGCUCAGCUCGGUCUCCCUCUCGCCCAGCUCGCUGUUCCAGAGCUGCUGUCCAACCCCUGUUCCGCCUCUGUCCAACUCGUGCAAGACCCGCCGGAGCUUCCUCCGACCACCUCCGGCCACCAUGAAGACUUGCCUUGGUCUUGUUCAGCUCCUCCGCCCAUUCCCGAGCUCAACCAGCCCUGGAUCCGCCCUCCUUCGCCUCCAACCAGCAGUGCACAGAGAGUGCAGAAAUGGGUUUGCAGCAACUGUUUGGCCCGUUUUGGCCGCCUUCCCGAGCCCGGAUGCUCGGCCCGCUUUGAGGAAAGUCGAUCCUCGCGUCGAGCCCGUCGUUUUGAGUGAGUUUUACUCACUAAUGCCUCCUUAGUGUGCAAAUUACACUUAAAGGUUGAUUAGUUUUAAUUAAAUGUAAUUAGAUUGUUAGAUUAGAAUUGAUUAGUGAUUAUUAGUUAAUUGCUUGGUAUAUUAGUGAUGUAAUUAGUGUAAUUAGAUAGAGAAUUGCUUGUAGUAUUUAUUGGAUGCUUCUUGGGAUUUUUCCCGUCCCUUAUCGGGUGUUAAUUAAGCAAAUCGGGCCUAGGUGGAAUUUUUAGGAAUUAAAUAUUAAUUUUGGAAAUUAAUUAUUUAAUGAUUUAUUUCUCGGAAAUUCAACUAGGAUGGCUAGUGACCAGGAUUUUAUGCCGAUGAUCGUGGUGCAGUCCGUUUAUUUAAUUGAGUUUUAUAUUGUGCUAAAUUGAAUUUAUUGUAUUUAUUUAUUUAAUAUUCGAAAUUAAUUAUUUAAUUAAUUAUUUUCCGGAAAUUCAACUGGGAUGGCCAGUGACCGGAAUUUCGUGCUGAUUGUCGUGGUGCAGUCCGUUUAUUUAAUUGAGCCCUAUUUCAUGCUGAAUUGAAUUAUUUGUAAAAGAAGGAAUUAUUCUUUAAUUGAAUAAUCUUUGGUUAUUAAUUGAAAAAGAACUGGGCUUUGGUUGAUAAUGCCAAAAGGAUCUGAGUGGGCUAUAGAAAAUGGUGGAAUUUAUAAAAAGGAAAUUAUUAUGUUUUGGCUAAGGCCAAUCGAGUAUCCACUCAUGGCAUUUUAUCGGGAAUGAUAAAAUUGGUUAUUUGAUUAUUUGCUUGGAAUGAUAUGAUAUACCGGCUCGAUGACUCUACGGAGCAUCUGGAGACAGGACGGUAUGAUAAAUUGCGUGUAUACCGGCUCGAUGACUCUACGGAGCAUCUGGAGACAGGACGGUAUGAUAAAUUGCGUGUAUACCGGCUCGAUGACUCUACGGAGCAUCUGGAGACAGGACGGUAUGAUAAAUUGCGUGUAUACCGGCUCGAUGACUCCACGGAGCAUCUUGAGACAGGACGGUAUGAUCUACCGGCUCGGUGACUCUACAGAUUAUCUUGAGACAGUACGGUAUGAUAUACCGGCUCGAUAAUCCUAUAGAUCAUCUUGAGACAGUACGGUAUGAUAAAUGGUUGAUCAAGAGAUAAUUUGGAUGACAUGUAAUCGACUAGGUCGAUUGAUUGAGGAUUCGAUCUGAGUGUGACUUGAUGUGAUUCAUUGCCUUGGUUUGAUGUUGUGAAGUGAAUGAUUGAAGGGAGAUGAUCGUGAGUGGUCUUCCUGAUGUGAAAUCGACUAAGUCGAUUAGAUCGAUGCUUCGAUCUGUGAUGUGCUUGAUUGUGUGCCUAUUUAAUCUGUACUAAUAUGCAGGUGGAAUCUGAGGCUAAGGUAAGUCUUCUAACUCAUGUUGUGCAUAGGCAGCCCUAAGGUGUAUUAGUUUACUAAUCGGGUCUUAGGGAGUAGAACUUGCUGAGACGUGGUCUCAGUGGUUAUUGAAUAACCAUUUCAGGAUCUGGAUGAGGAGCCUAAGGAGCAUGAAUCUGAUGAGGAGGUCCCUGAUGAGGAACCCGAAGAGGAGUACGUGGAGGAGGACAUCGAGUACGACCCGGAUGAGGAUCGAAAUCCUAUCCUGUCUUGUCAGACCUUGUUUGCAUGUAAAAAGUUGUAGUUGUGAAUUUUCAGUAAGAAAAAUGUAUGGCCUGCUUUUCUAUCCCAUUGCUUUAUUGUCUGGGGAUUUAUAACUGCUUCCGCAUGUGCUAUUAAAAAUGAAAGGGUCGGCGAUACAUAGUCCUGGGAUAUCGCAUAAUAAAAUCGACCAAAAGUAAGGGAUGUGUGCGUGCCUGAGGGUCGGGGCGUGACAAGAGUUUUCAAAGGAAAACUCUCGUGGAGAAAAGCCAGUGGCUUCUCAACAAUUAUCUCUAAUGCGAUUAGACAUCAUAUGCACGAACACAGGAAACUUCUCCAAUGAAUGUAAACUUGGGGAAGGCGGGUUUGGUCCUGUGUACAAGGUAAGCAAUGUGGUGACUCAACACGUAUUUGCGGGGAAAUUGGGAAAAUCUUCUAAUGGUAGCAAACUGGCAGAGUCAUUAUCCAUAGCAUGAACUGAAUCGGAUUUGGUUAGCAUUAGUAAUUCUCAGAUAGGGAUCUCACUACUGAUUUUACGCUAUUUCAGGGCACAUUGGUAGAUGGAAAAGAAAUCGCAGUUAAGAGGCUUUCGAGAACCUCAGGCCAAGGACUCAUCGAGUUGAAGAACGAAGUCAUCUUGAUUGCUAGACUACAACACAGGAACCUCGUCCGAUUGUUGGGAUGCUGCUUGGAAGAAGAAGAAAAACUCUUGAUAUAUGAAUACUUGCCCGACAGAAGCCUGGAUGUCUUCCUUUUUGGUUUGAGCUUUAGCAGAUGCAAGGAAUUUUUGAGCUAGUUAAUUUUAGUUUUAUAAAGUUGAGUUCCAUCUGAGUCUCUCAUCUUUGACAGAUUCGAAUAUAGGGCAAUAUCUAGAUUGGAAGCUGCGCAUGAACAUUGCCUGUGGAAUAGCUCGGGGACUUCUCUGUCUGCAUGAGGAUUCUCGCUUGAGAAUUAUCCACUGAAAUCUGAAAGUUAGCAAUAUUUUGCUAGAUGGCGAGAUGAAUCCAAAAAUAUCAGGUUUCGGAAUGGCAAGGAUCUUCAGUGUAAAUCAGCUCAAGAACACCAGAUUGAGCACAUAAUAUUUCAGAAGUUCCAUAUAGAAAAUUCCUUUUCUUUGUCUCUUACUUCCAACUAAUUGCUCUUCAUCACAUAAAUCUGGUUAGUGGAUAUAUGGCACCAGAGUAUGCGAUGGAAGGACUCUUUUCUGUGAAAUCAGAUGUCUUUAGUUUUGGAGUUCUCUUGCUAGAGAUAGUAAGCAGGCACAAGAAUAAUGGUUUUCAUCUUCAAGAGGAGGGUGAAAGCCUUCUCACUUUUGUAUGUUCCUAAUCACCAUCCUAGUUUAAUACGAAAUCAAAGAUUUUUGUGCAGCUACCCCUGUUUAUUUUUCUUGAUAUUUGACAAGCAUGGAAGUUGUGGUCCGAAGGUCGAGCGUUGGAACUUAUCGAUCAGUUGAUCAAUGAGUCAUGUGAUGAAAUUGAAGUGCUGAAAUGUGUACAUGUUGGUCUAUUGUGCGUUCAAGAAGACCCGGCGGAUCAACCGACUAUGUCACUCGUGGUUUAAUUUAGGAGGUGAUACUGUAACACUCAGCCAACCAUCGCAGCCUGCAUUCUCAGUUGGGAGAGAUGCGAAGAAACUUGAUCGUGUCAUGCCCACUCAUGGAGCCUCAACUAUUAAUGGAGUAACCCUUUCGGUUGUUGUGGCUAGGUGACCAAGUAUUAUACAAUGGAAAAGCUGUUAGUUAGAUAGCAUUAUGAUAUUUAUUUUAUCUUUUAGGAUUGUGCAUGUAUCUCCAUUGUAAUAUAUUUAGAUCAUCCUACUUUCUAUAUUUGUCAUGUAAAGCCGGCUUAUGUUCUCUUCUUUAUAUAUACAAAUAUACAUAAACUAAAAUAUUCUCCCUUUUGCAUAUUUCUUAUCUUUUUAUCUUAGUGUUAGAGCUAGACGGUCUUAAGCAAAUUUUGAGUGCUUGAGUGCGAGACACCCGACUGCACACCUGGAGCACACCUUCACAUCUCGUAUCAUGUGAUCCAUUUCUGUUAUAACUAGUAAUGCUCCUUUCUCAAUGUCGAUUCUUAACAUUUUCGUCAUGUAUGCAUAAACGUUAGCCUAUUGCUGUCUAACCUACACACAUCCGUCAAUUCUCUCUUCAGCACAUGAAAUCACCUCUCCGGAUCUUUACUCCCAACGCCAUUUGACUUCCUUUUUGUCACUUUGAGUUUGAGUGUUUGUUUAAGAUAAUUAAGAUUUUUACCUUGAUCCUCCAUUAUUCAGGAUUGUGAAUAUGUACGUCACAACCUGAUCCACAUACAGCCGCAUGACAACCCUUCCUCAACACUACUUUCUCUUUGGGUCAUUCAAUUGCAACGUCCCAAGAAGCAUCGCCGACCCAAAUCAUAAUAAUANNNNNNNNNNNNNNNNNNNNNNNNNNNNNNNNNNNNNNNNNNNNNNNNNNNNNNNNNNNNNNNNNNNNNNNNNNNNNNNNNNNNNNNNNNNNNNNNNNNNUUGGCACACACCGACGUCGGAUAUACCUACGCCUCUAAUACUACAAGGGUGAUUCAAAAAGUGCUAACACCCACAUCUACCUAAGCCCCAAUGUCCUCCGGGGUCCAGGCCUCCCACAUGGUGAUCAGCGCAAGGUUGAUCUCGAGGUCAGACACCUCCCCAUCGGAAACGUCCCAAUCCUUGGCAUCCUAGCUAAUGUCGCCCACAGGAUAGGCCCAUAGCUCUUGCCGCCUACCCAAAAGUAGCAAGCCACAUAUUGGUGUGGCACGAGGUUAAGUAAACCCUCAUUGACCAAAAUUGUCGUGACAUAUCACCUAUAGUGCGCAUUGGCUGCUCCCAGUACCAGAUGCUCUGUCACCUCCUAACUAUACUCGACAGGGAAGCCAAAACGAAUCUAACGAAAUUGUUUAGUCAUUCUUAGAACCUGAAAACAUUUCAACAAACAAAUAUGAGAUAAACUCAAUAAGAGAACUUCCUAGACAUGGAAAUAUCUAGGAAGAGCCCUAAACAUGCAAAUAUCUAUCAAUGGCAAAACAUGGCAACACACUUCUCACUUUACUCUUAUCGAUCUCAUAACAACUUGUCUACCAUACAAGGCCAUCAAAGUAUAUGCAUAGACAAUUUCAUAACAUAACCUUCAUGUUCUCGAGCCAAACAUACGAAUGCACAUUAUGGUUCAAAUCAUGCGCAUAUGCCAUGUAAUAAUCGAAACUUGAACACAUACGAAUCUCAUGCACUUUCCAUACAAAAAUGUGCAAAUUAUUAUGGCCACUCAAAACCCAAAGCCAAUCCGAAGGUUCGCAAAUCAUCUGGAAUAGCCGGGCAUGGUCUUGCCCCAUCGAGCACAGCAUCCCAUUGACUUGGGGGCAUUCCUAUAAGGAGCUUCAUUCCAAAAUUCAUCCACGAAUGGUAUCCUAUUGACUUGGGGGCAUUCGAACUUAAUCAGGCAUUGACCUGCGUAAAACGCCUCAAGACGAGUUCACACGUGGUGUAAAACGCAUCAGGGUCUUAGGUGAUCACACAGGAAUACCAUCACAUACUCCAUUUCUUGUCUUUAUCAUUUAACCCGUGUGAUGCUCAUGCGAUAUGCAACUUCACAUGUCAAAUGCCAUCGUUCCACACACGUACAUCAAUUACCUCACACACAUAUGGACCAUUCACUUCCUAAACUCAUGACACAUAAUCUACAUAUCAUGUUUAACCACUAAUUCACAUGGCACGUAUUCCAUUUAUAAUUUCUAAGCAUCAAUCCACAUGGAAAAUCAUCCAAAUAACAUAUUUAACCACUAAAACACAUGGCACGUAUUCCAUUUAGAAUUUCUAAGCAUCAAUCCACAUGGAAAAUCAUCCAAAUAACAUGUUUAACCACUAAAACACAUGGCACAUUAUUCAAAUAAUAUGUUUAACCACUAAAACACAUGGCAUGUCAUUCAAAUAACAUGUUUAACCACUAAAACACAUGGCACAUCAUUCAAUUAACAUGGAUAACCACUAAAACACAUGGCACAUAACCUAAAAAACAUGUUUAACCACUAAACUACAUGUCAUAUAACCGAAAUAAUAUGUUUAACCACUAAACCACAUGUCACAUAAUCCAAACAACGUGUUUAACCCCUAAACCACAUGUCACAUAAUCCAAAUAAGAUGGAUAGCCACUAAACCACAUGUCGCAUAACCCAAAUAACAUGUUCAACCACAAAACCACAUGUCACAUAAUUCAAACAACAUGUUUAGCCACAAAACCACAUGGCACAUCACUUAAAUAACAUAGAUUACCACUAAUUCACCCUAAACUACUCCCUAAAUGCAAUGAAAGCCCUAAUCAAAUGCUAAAAAGCCACUCACGAACGACUCGGGCUCCCAAACAUGCCAGGGAAAAGGACUACAAGGCCGGACAACAGCUAGCCUCACGUCCUCCAUGCGUAGGUGAGCUGGACAGUAGCUAAACAACAGUCUAGUGAUUGCACGUUGGGGGUUUGACGGGUGGUCGCCGGCAAGGAAAACAAGGGGAAAAUGGAAGAAACAAGCUUGAAAUGGUGAUGAAAAUGGCUUGGAGAGUUUGGCUACUUAAAGUGAGGGAGAGAAAGGUGAGUUUGAGAGUUCAAGUGAGAAAAAUGAAAGUGAAAGUGAGAGAGAAAGGGGGUGGCCGGCAGUGAGGGGAGGGAAAGGAAGAGAGGGGUAAGAGAAAGGACAUCCUAUCUCCAUAAAUGUCCAUCCCAUCCUAUAUCCUUUAACCUAUUAAGCCUAGAGUUCUUUUAAUGAGGAAGUGACAACUUGAAAAGAGAACAAAGUGAGAGUGAGGGGGAGGUAGGUGGCCGGCGGUCUUGAGGGAGAGGGAGGAGAGAGACAAGAAGAAAUCUUGCUCAUAAAUGCAUCACUUCCCUUGACUCUUGUCCAUCAAGCUUGCCCAAAGAAGAAGCAAGAUCUAGCAUUAAAUGGGAGGAUUUGCACUCAAGUGACUAGGAUUGGACUAAACUAGGUAGCCUUUUUCCCUCCUCUUGGCCGCCCCUUCUUUGCCAUUUUUCCAUUUUUAUCCUUUUGUCUUUAGUCCAAUAGGAGGGCAUUUCCGUCACUUCACCAAGAUCUCGCAUUAUUCAUGUCUUUUCGUGCAUUUAAUGCCAAGAUUGUGUCAAAAAGGGAUUGAUGGGCUUUAAGGGGCCCAUGGGCCUCCCUUGGUCACCCACCCUUGGGUGUGUGGGUCUUGGGCAGCCAACUUAGGCUCAAGCCCAAUAGGUCAUUGUCCCUAACCCGUUUCCACUUUUCUACACUCAUAUGCCCUUGCUGAUGAAAAACCGAGGUUUCGCCCUUAAAUGGUCUUUUUUGAUGCCCUCAUGGCUUAUCAAUCCUCAAGACACUCUCGUCCAACGAUCACUUACCAGAAUAAUUUCAUUCUGAAAAACCGGGUCGGAACGAGGAUGUCACAACUCUUCCCCCCUCAAAGAAAUUCCAUCCUUGAAAUUUGUAGGACCAACCACUUCCUCAAAUAGAUGGGAGUAUUGGCUCCUCAUAAUGUCCUCGCUUUCCCAUGUCACUGCCUCGGUACUGUGAUACUGCCAGACAUUUUUUACAAAGGGAAUGACUUUGUUGCGCAACACCCUUUCUUUUCUAUGCACGACUCGCAUUGGCUGCUUGACAUAAGUCAGUUUGUCGUCCACCUCGAUCUCUUCAUAGUUUAGCACAUGUGUCAGGUUUCAUUCAUACUUUCUCAGCAUCGAAACAUGGAACACGUUAUGAACCUGGGCAAGAUUUGGUAGUAGUGCCAAUUGGCAAGCUAAAGUUCCAAUUCUUUCCAAAAUUUCAAAAGGUCCUACAAAUCUGGGGCUUAGCUUCCCUUUAUUGCCAAAACGAGACAUACCUCUCCUUGAUGACACUUUAAGGAACACGUGAUCGCCAACUUGGAACUCUCGAAGUCUUUAUCGUUUGUCCACAUAGCUCUUUUGGUGACUUUGGGCUGUCUUUAACCUUUCUCAAAUGAUUUGGACUGCAUCCACGAAUUGUUGCGCAAGCUCGAGGCCCAUAAUUUCCUUUCUCCGACCUCAUCCCAACAGACGGGCAUUCUACAUGCAUGUCCAUACAUUGCCUCAAACAGUGCAAUUCCAAUGCUCAGUUGAUAAUUGUUGUUGUAUGCGAAUUUGACGAGGUGGAGUUGGUCUUCCAUUCUCCUUUGAAAUCUAUGACACACGAUAUCAUUGGUGCCGUAUGCUACCCUAUUCGAUGUAGUCCAUGUUUAUGAUGAUUCACUAUAUUUGUGCUAUGUUCACUAAUGAGCAAAGUUAGGAUCUUGUUGUUUAAUGCCAUGCUUUAUCCUUUAUUGGGCAUUGUUGCUCACCCCUUAUUUUUCCUCUUAGAUCAUUAGCUAUGGAUGUGACACCCUUGAUGACUUAUGGCACGUAUGGGAACUUCGAGGAUGGAGAUUCUGGUCUUGUUUUGACUCAUUAUGUGUGCACUGUCUGCAUAGAUGAUGGACGCCCUAAUCAUUUCCCAAUGCGAUUUGUGUUCGUGUACCUUAGCGUGAAUGGGAGGUUGUUUGGCCCCAUCUGUUGGUGAUGUUUUGUGCGUGGAGUAGGAGGCACGCGUGGUAUGGAGGGAUGUAGUGAAUGAGGAAAACUACCGGGUAGAGGAGUUAGACACCUUUUUGGCCUCUCCCAGGUAUUUUGUUUGGGUCAUCUUGAUGAGUAUUUUUCUAUGUUUGUAAUUGUCAAGAUGUCAUUUUUCUCUUGUAAUCCUUACUUAUGAUGAAUGAAAUGGAAGCAUGUUGUUAUGGAAUUUGUUCCUAAGUAAAAUUUUCAUAUUAAAAUGUAUACUCUUCCACUUGUGUAAUAAUAAUGAAAGAUUAUAGUCGAGGUUAUAAGGUGACCGUCUGGGACAUAACAGUUACAUUGGUAUCAGAGCUAUAGGUUAACCAUGGAGUGAUAAGGUGCGCUAGUGGUGGAAGAAGGUAGGACGCACGCGCUAAAACACUGAUCGCUUGUGCUUGUUGUAUUGCUAUUUUGUAAAGAACAAGUAACCUUGAUUACUCAUAGGGUAUUAGUAACUUAUGUUACUUAUUAGUUGGUUAGGGUAUUCAAUCACUUAUAGUGACUGAUUUGUAGAAUGGCUGGUGCUUCAAGAGGGAUAGGAACCGGUAGAAGGACAGCCAUGAGUGAAUCCCUUAUAAGGACAGAGGCUAGAUUGGAAGGGAUUUUGCAAGCUCUUGCUAAUGUAGAAGCCCUGACGGAGAGACAAACUCAACAGCAACAGCAGGGCGGUGAAUGCCGAAUGCAAGGGUUGGUUGAACAAUUCCUUAAGUUGAAACCAUCAAAAUUUGCUCGUUUGGGAGACCCUUUGGAGGCUGAGGUAUGGAUAGAUGAGAUGGAAAAGAGUUUUACAUUGUUGAACUGCAUGGAUGUGGAAAAAGUAUCCCUGGCGAAGUACCAACUUUUGAGAAAUGCUUACCAUUGGUUGAAGGUGAUGAAGGGAACAGUAUUCCCCGAAGGUGCUGAGGUGACUUGGGCUAGUUUUGUUUGGGCUUUCUUUGGAAAGCAGUUUUCUGAUUGUGCUAGAGACAAGAAGGUGAUGGAGUUUAUGCAACUAACCCAAAAUAACCUAACGGUGGAUCAGUAUGAGGCAAGGUUUGUUGAACUCUCUAGGUUUGCUCCCAAGUUAGUUGAGGACAGGGAGGAUAAAGCCAAGAGAUUUUUGAAUGGUAUGAGGCCUGACAUUCGUAGGCAUCUAAUGCCUCCGAACUUGAAAGAUUAUCAUGAAUUGUACGAGCGUGCUCAAUUAGUGGGAGCUUGUGAUGAAAGGGACCCUAGUAACCCAUCAGGUGAGAUCAAUUCAUCAGGCUAGUUAGAGCAAUUUCCACUAUGACAAGAGACCCUUUCAAGCUGGGCGACCAUCGUUCUCAUUGACUAAGAAAAGUUGGAUUGGAGAACCUGGGAAGGCGUGGAACAGUUAGUCAUCGAGGUGACCACGAAGCCAAAGUUCUACUUGUCUGGUGUGUGGUGGAUUGCAUGUGAGCAUGUUGUGCCGAUUUGUGAAGGCAUAUUUUGGUUGUGGACAACCAAAUCACUUGGUUAAAGACUAUCCACAAAGGAGCACCCAGUAGCAACGGCCACCACAAUCAUCAAUUGCAUCGGUGUAACAAGGAAAUAACCGCAGGUCGCUAGCUCAAGAAAGAGUCUAUGCAAUUACACGUAAUGAAGUUGAGGCCUCUAAGACAAUCUUUAUAGGUAUUAUUUCCUUGUUUGACCAAAAUGCUUAUGCUUUAUUCAAUACUAGAGCUACACACUCGUUUAUGUCUACUCAGUUUGUGCAAUUAAGUAGGAUGAGACCUAGGGAGAUGGAAGUACCCCUUAAUAUCUCCACAUCGUUAAGAGACAUAGUUUUAUCUACCCUAGUAUGUAAGGACUGUAGGAUCUUUAUAGUAGGACAAAGUUUGCAUUCAAAUUUGGUGGUGUUAACUAUCUAUGAUUUUGAUGUGAUCUUGGGGAUGGAUUGGCUUCAUAAGUACCGAGCUAAUAUGGAUUGUUAUAGGAAGAUCAUUCAGUUUAAUCCUCUUGAUCGCCUAGUUUUGAAUUUUAUGGAGAUAGGGCGACUCCUUCCUUACCGCUCAUUACUGCACUUGAGGCUCAUCAACUCCUUGAGAAUGGAUGUGAGGGUUAUCUAGCUUGUGUGAAAAAUCAAGAUAGAGAAGGAGUAAAGCUAGAAGAGAUUUCGGUAGUUCGGGAGUUUCUCGAUGUUUUCCUAGGGAGUUACCAGGCCUACCCCCAAAACAAGAAGUUGAGUUCAUCAUUGAAGUGGCGCCUGGUACAAAACCUAUAUCGAAGGCCCCAUAUCAAAUGGCGCUAAGUGAGUUGAAGGAACUAAAUGUGCAACUACAAGAGUUGCUUGACAAGGGGUUUGUUAGGCCAAGUGCAUCACCUUGGGGUGCGCCAAUAUUGUUCAUGAAAAAAUAGGGAUGGAUCCUUAUGCCUAUGUAUAGAUUACAGGUAGCUAAAUCAAGUAACGAUUAAGAAUAAAUAUCCGUUGCCUAGGAUCGAUGACCUAUUUGAUCAGUUGCAAGAAGCGUCAAUGUUUUUUAAAGUCGAUCUAAGAUCAGGGUACCAUCAACUAAGAAUCAAGAAGGAGGAUGUUCCUAAGAUGGCCUUUCGAACUAGAUAUGGACAUUACGAGUUCUUAGUUAUGUCCUUUGGAUUGACUAACACACUAGCCGCUUUUAUGGAUUUAAUGAAUAGAAUAUUCAAGCCGUUCUUGGAUCGAUUCAUGAUAGUUUUCAUAAAUGAUAUCCUAGUGUGUUCGAAAGGGCGAGAAGAUCAUGGGGAGCACUUGAGGAUCAUGUUGUAAACUCUUAGAGAACAUUAGUUGUACGUCAAAUUCAGCAAAUGUGAAUUUUGGCUGGACAAAGAUAUAUUCUUAGGUCAUAUGGUGAUUGGAAAAGGGAUAUCGGUAGACCCAGAAAAAGGUCGAAGCCGUUCUAAAUUGGCCAAGAUCGAUGAUGGUAACUGAGAUUCGAAGUUUCUUGGGUUUGGUGGGAUACUAUAGGAGAUUCGUGGAAGGAUUUUCAUGGAUUGCAGGGCCGUUGACUCAAUUAACUUGGAAGAACUCAAAGUUUGAAUGGACGGAGGAGUAUGAGCAAAGUUUCCAAUAACUCAAGAGGAGGCUAAACACGGCACCUAUCUCAACAAUACCUUCAGGACUGGAAGGAGACGCAUUCAUAGAAGCUGAGGUCAGAUUCUCCUUAAGAUCUGUUUUACUGGACCUCCUGCAUUUGUUGUUUUCGUGGGUUGAAAUGUGCUGCGAAUUUAAGGUUGCUUUCUUCUUGAAAAAUGUUUUGAACAUCUUCAUUUAUAACAUAUAUUUUACUUAAGAUUUUAUGGAUUUGAAGGACUGAUUUUUCAGCUUCGUUGCAUGCAAAUUAGUAUCUUGUUUUAUGCUGGAAUCUGUGACCUUUUGGUGUUCAACAAUUUUUUUAUCAACUUUUGUGAUUUGAUUUUUAAAAUGGUUUCUUCACAAAAUUUGUUCAACACAUCUUGAAGUUUAACAUAGUCAAAUUCUAGAGCAAAUGGCAGAAUUUUUAACUUCAAACCAAGCUGGUUUUGAAAACGUGAUUUUUGGACAUGAGAACAAUUUUGAUGAUUGUUUUGUGCGAUUUACUUCUCUUAUUCUAGAAAGAACUGGGUUAAACAUUUUUCAUGAAAAUUAUUUUUUAAGUGUUCUUUAUAACAUAUUUAAAUUUAAAUAUUUUCUGAACUCUUUUGGUUAUGUUUCCGGAUUUAAUCAUAGAGCCACGCAUGUGGACAUGGUUUCUGCCGGUGAGGGCUAGUUGUCGUCUUGUUGCUAUUUCUGAUGUUUUACUUGCUGGAAAAUGCAUAUUUUGUGAUUGUGGAUGAGUUUGGCAUGCUGAGAACCAAUGCUUGAUGGCUGUGCAUGAGUAGUGCUCAUUGUGUGUGCAAAAUGAUGUGAAAUAGGCAUGGAGGUGGUGUGAAGGGCAAUUCUAUUUUAUGCAUGCUGAUGCAUUGUGAUCUUGGCAGUAUGGUAGUUUAUGUGUGUGCUAGUGGUGUCAAAAGUGUGCCCUAAUGAAAGAUUGUGAUGUGGUGAAAUGUGUGAAUGAAUCAAAUUAAGAGACAUUCCAUCGGCCAGCAUCCCGAUGAUGCCCCCCGAGGAGUGGGGAUGCCCCAAACUGUGUGGUCUGGAAUGCCUCAGUUCAAGUCACAAGGCCAGUGACCCUUGGACACCAGGAUGCCUCGAAGGGAGAUGCCUAGGGCCAACGUCUCCUGGAAGUCCAGCCAGCAACCAAAAAGUGACUCGAAUGGAACCAACCAGCGUCUCCGGUUAAAUUCGAUCCGAGGGUGGAUAUGAAAUGUUCUCACAUUGAAAUUAAUUAAUAAGGCAUGUGAGUACGUGUGAUGAUGUAGUUGUGUGCCAUGUGAUGCAUGAAUGAAUUCGUGUGCACUGUGUGACACAUGAUUAGAGUUCGUAUAUGCCUUGUGGUGCGGUCUUCAUGCAUUUUACUCAUUAUAGCAAUGAUAUCCUAGAUUUUCAGUCUUGUUUUCAAUUUAAUAAAUCGGGUUUUUCAUCGACGUGCCUAUAGUGCUAUUCUUAGAGCUGAUCACUCCUGAGAUAACUUGACUAUCUGGGGAAAUUAUUAAGGGAUUUUAAUGCAAUAGACUUGAGAAUUCAACUAGGAAUCGACUAAUCGACUGUGCUCAUCUGCAGAGAUCAUUACGGCACAGUAAAGAUUGAUUAGAGAUCAGAGAUAGGUCGGUUUGAUUGAGAUGUGUGGUUAAACAUGGAUGAUUCCACUAAAUUGCAAAUUCUUGUCAAUCGGUACUAGACUGAUUUUUCUAUCGUUUCGGUACCCUGUGUCCGUAUUUGAAACCUCGAGAUUUUCACGACUACCAAGAGUCGCCAAUGUGUUGAAGAGGUUCAUUGUGGCUCGAAGAAAAUUGACCACGAGCCAUUUGCACUAAAAAUUUCUAAAAGUUACCCGGUAGUCUAGGUCACGCUAAAAGCACGCCAAAUCAAAAUUAACCGCGAAUUUGAAUCUGAUUUCAGAAAUUGAAAGUUCUUUCAUGUCACAAGUCAUUUUAAGAAAGUCGACUCAGUUUUUGAAGAUUUUUCUACAAAUCAAGAUUUUUGGCGAAAAGUUGACAUAGGGUCGUUUUUGUCCAGAAAAUUCAAAGGACCAUUUUUUAUCGCACAAUUGGGAUACAAGUAGAUUCUAUUGGUAAGGAAAAAUACCAAUUUGAUCGAAGACUUGAUAAUGAAAUUUAUAGAUGCCAAAUUGAGUUGAUUCAAGAUGGAAUUGAAGUCCAAUUUGGGGAAAAUCCAAUCAAAGAUCGUAGCCCCCCCUUGGACACAACCUUUGGACCACCUCUAAGGCUUCUAGAGGAAGUUUGGCUACUGGAAAUUGGCUGAGGAAGCCAGCUUGCAAGUGGGACCAAGCUAAGGGAGACAAGAGGAAAGAGAGAGGUCAAGAGGGACCCUCCACCAGCCAAAGCUGUCCCCUUCCCUCUAUCCUUGCUACCGUCAACCCUUUCCCUCUAUUCCAGCUCCUUGAAGCUUCAAAAAUUUUAGAAAACCGAGCUUCAGUCCCCCCUUACCGUCGCAACCACCCGUCAAGCCACCGGACUGCCCCUCGCAGCCGCUCGCUCGCUCGCACGCCACUCGCUAUUGUCCAGCCUACCCACGUCUCCAGCCGCUCAUUCCAUUACUGCUCGCAACUGGCCGAUGUCGCUAGGUUGUCGUGCGUCGCCGUUGUAGUCGCCGGAGAUGACGUCUACCCGCCUGCACACUCGUUCAAGCUGUUACAAUCCCCGUUGACCGUCCUCGCCGCUUCAAGCCGUCGAAGCAGCUUCUUCGGCUCAACCACAAAACCGAAUGGAGUGGGUCUCGCCAGCAUUGUUUGGCCCGUUUUUGUGCCCUUCCGGACCUCGAAAGGCGCACCCGUUUUGGAAUUUAUUGAUCCUCUCUGCCUCGCUGUCAUUUCGGUUCAACCAAUUCGUUAAUCAAGUGAGUUUAACUCACUAAUCCCUGCUUAGUAAGUUAAUGAUGCUUAAGGGUUGAUUAGUUUAAGUUAAUUAGAGAAUAUGUGAUUAGUUAGAAUGGAUUAGUAAUUUAAUCGAUCAUUAUUGCAUGGUAGGUGGUUAGAGUAGUGCAAUUAGCAAGUAUAUAAGCUCUAGUAUUUACUUAGAUAGGUUCGAAAAUUUUCCGAACCUGAAUCAAUUUCCGAACCAGAAUCGAUAUUUAAUUAGGCUUUUCCGGUCUAAGUGUGCAUUUUGCUAUUUAUUGGUAGUUAUUAAUUAUUUUCCGUAAUUAUUUAAUUAAUUAUUAUUUUUCGAAAAUUAGACCAGGAUAGCCGGUGACCAGAAUUUUAUGCUAAUCGCAGUAGUGUGAUUUGUUUAAUUAAUUGAGUGCUAUCUUAUGCAAUUUGAGCGUGAUUUGUAAUUUUGGGGUAUCUAUCCCAAAAUUUUAUAUUUUAGUAUUUAAUUAGAAAAUACCGGGCGUCGGUUUACAACGCCAAAAAUGUGUUUAUGGACUAUGAAAAUUAGUGGGAUUUUCAAAUGGGAAAAUAUUGUAUUUUGGCUAAGGCUGACCGUGUACCCACACACAAUUAUAUUUAUCGGGUAUGAUAAAAAUGGUGGCAUUCUCAAUUGGUGAGAAUAAGUAUAUUAUAUCAACCUACGGGUGUCGAUAUAUCAACUUUGGGUGAGCAGUAUACUUUAUAGCUUAGGGUGAGCAUCAUAGGUAUACUAUAUCAGCCUACGGGCGUUGAUAUAUCAGUUUUGGGUGAGCAGUAUACCGGUAUAUUAUAUCAGUCUACGGACCUUGAUAUAUUAUCUUUAGGUGAGCAGUAUACCUUAGCGGCUUUUGGUGAGCAUUGAGAGUAUACUAUAUCAGUCUAAGAACCUUAAUAUAUCAGUUUUGGGUGAGCAGCAUACUAUAUUAUCAGCUUUGGAUGUACUAUACUAUCUAUCUUCAGCUUUUGAUGAGCAAUCCUCGAUGAGAUAAGACUUUAUAGAUAGUAUUGAUUGGAUUGACCGAGUAAUGGUCGUGAUGACAUGGAAUCGACUGAAUCGAUUGAUCGAUGGUUCAAUCUGAUGUGAUGAUGUGAUUUAUUGAUGUGAUUCGAUGAUUUUGUGAAUCAUACUGACUUGUAGGAAGGUACCGAGGCAAAGUAAGUCCUCUGACUCGUGUUUGUGCUUAGGCAAACCUUAGAGUGUAUUCUCUUCCUAGUCGGGUCUUAGGGGGUGAACUUGCUGAAACGUUGUCUCACCUCGUUGUCGGAUAAUAUUUCCAGGUCCUUAGAUGGCUGCUCCUCCCGAGUGUUUUGGACAACUAAAGAAAGUCACAGAACAGGUAUCUUACAUCCCGCUUCAUGGAGCCCUCGAGGAUGGGUCUAUGAGCUCAUAAGGUCCGUGGUUUGGGUCCAUGAGGCUUUAACCUCAUCAAUUCAGAUCAUGGUACCGACGUAUGCAGGAUGGACAGAGAGGGGGUCCCAUACCGAAGUCUGAGAUACAUGUGCAUGUGCUGGAGAUUGCUUUUGGAAAAGGCACAGCAAAUCCUCCUAGUGGAUCAAUUGUGGACCCGUAUCUAUCAGAUCUAGAGAUCCUGGUGUAUUCAGCUAAAGGCUCCAAUGAGGAUGAGGAUAAUGAGGAGGAAGAAGAUCUAUAGUUUUAGGUAACCUCACUGUUUUACAAACCUUGUUUUAUAGACUGGUAUUGUAUAUGACAUAAUUUGGUAUGUAUAUAUAAGUGUGGCUUGUUUGGUUUUCAAAAAUUUUGGUCCUACUUUCCUAUCACAUCUUGUUGUUAUCUGAUAAUUAUUUAUUCGCUUCCACAUACGUAUUAAAAAGAAUGGGUCGGCGACGCGUCCUGGGACGUCGCUAUUUAAUCAACCAUUGAGGAUGGGCACACGCUUGGAGGAUCGGGGCGUGACAAUAGCUUGUUUAGUUCACAUGAUAUCAUUAAUGCCAUAUGCUGCCCAAUUCGAUGUAGUCCAUGUUUAUGAUGAUUCACUAUGUUUGUGCUAUGUUCAAUAAUGAGCGAAGUUAAGAUCUUGUUGUUUAAUGCCGUACUUUAUCCUUUACUGGGCAUUGUUGCUCACUCUUUAUUUUUCCUCUCAGAUCAUUAGCUAUGGAUGUGACACCCUUGGCAACUUGUGGCACGCCUGUGCGGGUAGAUGGCGUGAAUAGGAAUUUUGAGUAUCAAGAUUCUUGUCUUGUUUUGACUCGUUAUGUUUGUACUGUCUAGAUAUAUGAUGGAUGCCAUAAUCCUUUCCCGAUGUGAUUUGUGUCCGUGUACCUCAACGUGAAUGGGAGGUUGUUUGGGCCCACCCGUUGGUGAUGUUUUGGGCAUGGAGUACGAGGCACGCGUGAUAUGAAGGGAUGUAGUGAAUGAUGAAAAUUGCCAGGUUGAUGAGUUAGGCACCUUUUUGACCUUUCCCAGGUGUUUUGUUCGGGUCAUCUUAAUAAGUAUUUUGCUAUGUUUGUAAUUGUUAAGAUGUCGUUUUCCUCUUGUAACCCCUGCUUAUGAUGAAUGAAAUGAAAGCACGUCAUUAUGGAAUUUGUUUCUGAGUAAAAUUUCCUUAUAUUAAAAAUGCAUACUCUUCCCCUUGCGGAAUAAUAAUGAAAGAUUAUAGUCGAGGGUCUAAUGUGAUGGCCUGGGACGUCACAAAAGCUAAUAUCCGAAACUUGGUCGUGGAUUUAUAUAUUAUUAUUUUAAAUUCUAAAAUCUGAUUUAAUUUUGAGCUCAAAUUCGAAGCAUAUUUUAACAAGGGUUACUCAUUUGAAGCAUAGAAAAAUACAUUUAGAAGAAAUUCAAACAGACAUCAAGAGCUGUCGACAUAUAAAAGGAGUGUUAGAUUUUGAAGAGCCAAAAAUCAACAUUUCAAAAAACUGGUGAGUUCUUAGUCCCGGGUCUUCGUCAACGAGCACUGGACUUUCAUUGGAGCAUCGUACUUGUUUUUUUUCUACCAAAAACGUAUGUACCCCUAUUCCUUCCGAGCAGGUCUCACCUGAUGAUAGUCCUCCGGUCCCACACAUCGAAGAAUUUCUAUGCUUCUGGAUGAUUAUGAGAGAAUGUGCACGUGUGGCAAUUCCAACCAAGCCUUGAACGAGGAGGGGAGGAACAUGUGAUUCAUAACCAUUGCCGAGUCGUUGUCGGGUCUUUUCGGUUUGUAUCUUGGGUUGAUUUUUAUCCACCGAGGGGACAAUCACAACACAAGAGCCUUUUUUUUUCAAUAUCUUUCUUUAAUUCCAGAACACAAGAUCCAUUUCUAUAGAUAAGAUAGAUCUAUCAGAUGGCGAUUCCAACCAAGCCUUGAACGAGGAGAGGAGGAACAUGCGAUUCAUAACCAUUGCCGAGUCUUUGUCAGGUCUUUUCGGUUUGUAUCUUAGGUUGAUUUUUAUCCACCGAGGGGACAAAAACCUUUGGUUUUUUAUUUUUAUUUUUUGUCAGAAAAAUCCUUUGGUUGAUUUAUUUUUAUUUAGUGCCGGUCUUUAUGGGGUCUGUUUGGGUCCCUCUCCCCUGAUUUUUCCUCUGGUAGGGCAAGCCAGGAACGGUCACCCUUCAUUUCUCCUGGGAAAGAAAAAAAAAAGCCAAUUGGAUCACACCUGUUGACGAAGGAACGUGGAAAUUGGACUAACGGUCACCCUAAUUUAUCCUGGAUAAAAGAAGCCAAUUGGAUCGCCCCUGUUGACGAAGGAACGUGGAAAUUGAACUAAGUCGUCUUCGCCAACCCCGGCACCUGGGAAAGCAGCUGCAAACUUGGUUCUUGAUCAAUUUCUUUACCUCGGCCUCUAGAAGUUGCUUAUUAUCGUACUCCUCUUGAAUUGAAAGACAGUCCAUGGCCGUCUUUGAAUUACUCUUACUGAACUUGCAUUCUUUCCUAGUUCAAGCAAAAAAGAUGAUCGAUGCACCAAGAAAUAUUUCCUUCGCUUUCUGGAUUUCAUGCCUGUUCCUCUUCAUCCCAGGCACUCCUGUCGGUGCACAGACAUAUGUUCAGGAGCGGUGUGCAGAUAGGGGCGACUACGCUUCUCCUAGCAAGUUUCAGGACAACCUCAGCAGCCUCCUCUCCAAGGGCGACUCCGCUGAUUACAGCAAAGGACCCAUUCGCGGUUUCUACAACACAACGGAAGGUGAAGAUCCGGACAAAGUUUAUGGUCUCUUCCUCUGCAGGUAAAUCACAAGCGAAAGAUACCAAAAAUUUCAACUUUUGAGUAAUACCUUCCAAAUCAAUUGUUAUAAUCUUUGGAAUUGGCUCGCUUGGAACUAGGAUUUAUAAUGGACCUGAUAUAUUGGUCUUAAUUGGAAUCCUCUACAAAGUACGGUGAUCCAACACCAACCUAAAAAUUACUAUCCAGAUUUAAGUGACUACUAAUGCGACUUUUCUAUUCCUCUUUAGAGGGGAGGUUGCCACCAAUCAAUGUCAGUCUUGCAUCCGUAAAGCUAGCAACACCAUCAUAGAAAGAUGUCCAGGACAGAAAGAGGCGAUGAUAUGGUAUGAUGAGUGUCUCCUGCGCUACUCUAACAGAUCGUUCUUCUCUAUCAUGGAGACAAGACCGAUUAUUUUUGUUGUCGACCCUGCGAACAAUUCAGUUACCUUCAACAAGAUUGUGGAGCAAACUUUUGAUAAUGAGAACUUUGCGGCAAAAGUGACAGAUUUGGCAAGAAAUGUCACGGACAUGGCAAUCUCCUCAGAAAGCUUAUACGCAACCAUAAACGUUAAUGUCUCAAGUUCAGUGACCCUGC